rnacentral:lncRNA from 1 species
UUUUUUUUUUUUUUUUUUUGGUCCUUUUUUUGGAUAAAUGGGUAAAACAAGAUGAUACAGAAUUUCCGAGCCCUCACAUAAAAUCAUAGUCAUCGAUAUCAUCAUAAGCAUUAACAACUACGUCGUCAUCCGGCUUAUCAACAUGAAGUUGCUUCUUCUUUGCACCUGGACACAACCACCAAAAGAGCAAUUCAGAGUCACUUGUUAGUUUGCAAUUCAUAAGCCCUCAUUCUAAACAAAUUGUCCCAAUAAACGAGUAAGAAAUCUGCCACAGUUAAUGCGUCAUGCUCAGAUAUAUAUAUAUCAGGCACAAAAGAGGUUGUUUCCCGAGAUAAGACGUCCAUAGAAAUAAGCUGCAAAAUUACAAGCAGCUCUUGACUUUUGGAAUGGUGAUCAAAUGAAUCUUCCACAAUUCUCAAACUGAUCAUUUGGCCCUUACUCAGCCAAAGUGCUUUGGGAAGGGCAAUUACAAUAAAAUACCCUUCUGAUAUAUACCAUAUUAUAGUCGUCAAACACUGAGGUUCAAAAGUUUUUUUCUCCAAAAGAUUGGGCUUAGAACUAAUCCUUGCCCAAGGGAUUAUGGUUAUCAUCAGAAAACAAAAUGUAGUAUCUCACUUCACUCCACAAUCCACAUAUACAUAGCAAAAUUGUCCAUAUCAAUGCAAAAACCAUUGAUGUAAUCCAGUCAUAACUAGAAAUUGAUUUUUCACUCUCCCAAUGGUUAUCACACUCGCCACCAGUCCAUGCCCUUAAUCACAUUGGCAUAUCAAAUGGCUGCCUUUUUCCUUUUUGUAAAAGCAUGAGAUAAAUUACCUCAAGUAAAUAAUUUCACGGAUCAAUAAAAUUUGUUCAAAAUUUUCCAUUACAUUAUGAAAUAAGGGAAUGUUUUGAGGUCUUCUUCAAAAACAGUUUUUGAUAACAGUUCUUAAAAACAAUUUUGAAUUGUUUUUAAGAAUAAAAUCUGUUUUUUCCUCAAAACAAAUUUUAAUUGUUUUUAAGAAUAAAAUUCUGUUUGGAAAUUCAAAUAUGAAAAAUAGUUUUUCCCACUUAUUCUCCAAGAAGGUACUAUGUGCUUAUGUACGAUAUAGAAGUUUACAAAGUAUUAUUCAUGUCUUCAUUCAUUGCUGAGAUCAUUCUACAAAAAACAACUGAAAACACUUAAAAUUUGUUCUAAAAAACAACUCAUUUUUAGAACAAAUUCUCAGAAAACUGUUUUCUGUUUUGCUAACCAUGUUUUGCGAGUUAUACAACUGUUUCAUGUUCUAAAGAACAGAAGAGAGUGUUUUCAAAAACAAUUGCCAAACAUGGCCUAAAAUCCUCAUGUUUUGUUUUGGGUCCAGUUUAAAGAAUGUGAAGUGUCCAAAUUUUAUAAUAAAACCUGUUACUGAUCGGCUCUGAUAUGUGGCCUUGUUACUGUGCCACACUACUAUCAUGGUAUGACAAAAUUUACUAAUUAUAUAUAUUUUUUUUACUUUAAUUUUGACCCCAGCAAAAGAAGGAAAAAAGAAACAAAAGGCAAACAACAAGAAACAAAAGAUUCCUCUUAAUCACACCACUUCCUGCAUGGAAGGGAGGAUGUUCCCAUAAGAAGUCAGCAUGAGAUGAUAAACAAAAAUAGAAACAGGAUGAUAAAAAGUGUUAAUUAGUAUUUACUGUCUUAAAUAUAGGUGAGAUGGCUUUGUGUGCAUGCAUAAAUUUUCUACACUAAUGAUUGACAAUACAUAAGGAAUUUUCCAAACCAAAAAAUUAUAAAUAACGGUUAAAAUUAGCCAUCACAUGUGUUGGAGGUAUCAUAAUAUAAACAGGGGCUUAUACUUUUUUUUAAAAAUCUUAUACGUGAUAUAAUCUGCACCUCUGUUUUGGGGCAAACAAAUUUACAAAUAAGGUUAUGGGUAUCCAUGAUGGCUUUUUACAACAUUUAUAAAUCUUGUUACCUAUCUCUGCAUUUAAAGGAGGUUUUGAUUUUAUUUUAUUUUUAAAGGGAUUAAACAAUCACCUCUAGAACAUAAAUUUGCAAGACAGCAAUACUUUCUACUCAAAUAAGAAGAGGCAUAUCAACAGAUACAUACCAAUUUUCUUUUUACCAGUAUUGGCUUCCUUUUCCGCUUUCAGCUUCUCAUUUGCAAUUGCUGUGACAGAUGAGGCUAUUUCUUUUGCAUCAGCUGCUUUUAAGGAAGCCAUUGACAGUCUCAUUACAGCCUUGAGCAAUCCAAUAUAGUGGAAACUUUUCUGCAUUAUGAAGCAUAAAUCAUAGCCAUGUCAUAAUUCUGUCCAGCUGUAUCACCAAACACCAGAUAAUCAAACAUAUCAAACACACCUCAUACGAUCGCAGCUUAUGAGAAAUGAGCUCCGCAUAUUCUACGAAGUCACUUUCAGAUUUAGGAAUGAAACUAUCAAGAGUCUUCUCAUCACCUCUCUUAGCAAACAAUUCUGUCGUGGAUUUAUAAUCCGCUUCCUCAAUAAGCCUGUUACAGGACCCAAAAAAAAAAUUACCAUUAUUAAACCAAAACAUUUCUGAAGGAUUACUCAUCCUCCACUGUACUCCUUUCUCCAUUCAUAAUAUUUCCUUUUUCUCUCUUCAAAGAGGGAAAAAGAGUUUUAUAAACCCAUGUGUCAAAAAUCAUCUAACAAGUUCAACACAUUUCGUUCUAGUUCCCCAUGGUCAACUCACAACUCCUCAAGUAAUACCAUCUAAUAUCAAAUCAACUAGUUUAAACAACAUUUGACAUAUUUUCCAUACUGGUGCAGUAGAAAGAAUAAGACAUCAUCAUCAUUCAAAUGGUAUGGAGCAUUUUCAUUGAUCUAAUAUCUAAAACAAACCUCCUUUAAUGUGAGAAAAUAUACCCAAGCCUUGUCCACCAUUCAUAAUGGAAUACUGCACAAGAUAUGCAUACAGGUCACUAACUUACCAACCAAAUCUCACAUAUGCGAGUAACCUCUUUACUAUGCACCAGAUUCUCUACACCAGUGGUUUCCCAGACAAAAUGCAUAAAUGUACAACUACACAAGUUUAUACUGAAUGUUUCUAAGUUCCAAAAGGACUACAGGAAGAAAGAAGAAAAGAGUUCUAAUAUCACCUUAUUGAUGACAAGAAGAUUCGUAUUUUAGGUCUCUUUUAUAGAUUGAAGAAAAGGAUAAAUGUCAGUACACAAACAAGGAGCCCUACACCUUAUCCCAUUACAUCCUACCCAUGCCCCCACUCCUUUUUGGGCUGAGGGUGUAGAUAUCUGGAGGUGAGUGUCUUCAUGUGGAGUCAAAUGCUCAACCUUUUAUGAAGGUCAAGCUCAGUAAUCAAGUUAACAUUCAUAACUCAAAAGGCUCGAGGCCCAGUUGUAGUCUGCCGAUGGGAUGCGGGGGCAGACAAGCGGGUCGGGGCGCCCUUUGGAUCGUCUUCGAAGCCUUGACGGGUUGUCAGAUAGGCCCCAUGGAGGACUGCAGCUUUUGGGUGGGCCCUCUAAGCUAGGCCCAGCAAAGGACCCACGGUGUACUAAUCUGGUUUCUGGGCCCUCUGGGCCAGAUCCAGUUUCGUCUACCUCAAUUGAGGCUGGGUUGCUUAUUUUUGGGCUGACAACUGUGAAGGACCCUGGGUGGGCCAAGGCAAAGGAGUCCUUUGUGGCCCCUGGGUCGAUGUUUGCAGAGGCCCGCCCCAGCCCAAGUUGGUGUGGCCCGCCCCUUGGUUUUGUCUGGCCCAAACUCAUUGAGGGGUCCAAACCCUGGAAUCUCUAUUUUUCGGGUGAAGGAUGGCCUGCGGAAGCAAAUUGAGGAAGAGCACCAUUCUGAGGAGAGAUCGAAGACUGACCUUGCACUAAUUGAGGAAGCAUUGAGGUAUGGGAACGCUUUUAAUGGAAUGUUGGCUUCUAGGUUCUCUUUUUCUCCCUUCUUUUUUUCUGAUCAGACUCCAAUGGGGGAGUAUUACGACUUUUCUGGGGCUGGUUGGGAGAAAGUCUAGGGGGAAACCCCGCUUCGCUUGGUCAAUGCUCCGGGGGCUACAGAGGAUGAGACCAUUACUCGUUGGGAGUUGAUGGAGGUUAACAAUGGCAGCAAUAAAGAAAGUAGAGAGGAGUUGUGCUUAGUUCAAACUAUGCCACAAGAAGUAAAAGGUUGGGAGGAGGUCAGUUGGAAGGAAAGCAAUCUAGUUAGGUUCAGUAAAUUCUUGGGGUUUCCGACAGAGGGAUUGGAGAAAGAAAUUUUGGAUUUUUUGGUUAAAAUCAGAAAGAGAAGGGAGAGAGUUCAUAGCAAAACUCUUCUAGAGAAAUCCAAAUUCGAAAGGGAAUUAAAAAGACUAGAGUGCUCCAUUACCUAUGAGGGGGGGGGGGGGGGGGGAAGUAGAAAUGUGGUAUGCAAGGAAGAGGGUGUCAAAUUAUGGAAGUCCAAUAAAGUUAAGGCUUUUGAGUUGGAAUAUGCGUGGAGCUAACGAUAGCUUUAAAAGAAAGGUGAUUAAGGCCCUGAUUAGAAGUCAGAGGGUGGACUUGUUCUGUCUUCAGGAGACGAAAAUUCAGGCAAUGUCAGAGGGUGUGGUGAGGAGUUUGUGCACUGGUAGAUUUCUAGACUGGGGUACCCUGAAUGCUUAUGGCUCUGCGGGAGGGAUAUUAAUCUGUUGGGAUAAAAGGACCCUGGAUGUGCUUGAGAUGGAGGUGGGACACUUCUCAACUUCCUGUAGGCUUAGGAAUGUGGAAGAUGGGCUAGUUUGGAUUUUCACAGGUGUGUACGGGCCUUUCUCUAGAGAGGUUAGGGAUUGUUUGUGGGAGGAGUUAGGGGCGAUCAGAGGCAUUUGGGAUGAUCCCUGGUGUUUAGGGGGUGACUUCAAUGUCAUCCUCUCCCAAAGGGAAAGGAGUAGCUAGGGAAGGCUAACUGGUGUAAUGAGAAGGUUUUCCUAGAUUGUUGACGAGCUAGAGCUACUUGAUCUUCCUUUACAAGGGGGUGUGCUUACCUGGAGUGGGGGUAGGAAUAAUCAGUCUUGGGCUAGACUGGAUAGAUUCCUAGUGACCCAGAACUAGCUUGAUCAAUUUAGUGGGGUUGUCCAAAGUAGGCAGCCUAAACCCACUUCAGACCACUUUCCCAUCUUGCUGAAGGGUGGUGGGUUAAGGCGGGGCCCCUCCCCGUUUAGGUUUGAAAACAUGUGGCUUAAAGUUGAUGGUUUUAAGGACCUUCUUCGAGGAUGAUGGCAGGGGUCUGGGGUGAGAGGGAGGGCCAGUUUUAGACUGGCCACUAAGUUGAAGGAGAUGAAGCAAAAAAUCAAAGUUUGGAAUAGGGACGUGUUUGGAAGGCUGGAAGUUAAUAAAAACUCAACUCUACAACAAGUUGAGUACUAGCAUGGGGUGGGAAGUGAAAGGAGCCUUUCAGAAGGAGAAACAGAGCUGAAAAAAGAAGCUAAGGAAACCUAUAAAAAGUGGGUUUUACUGGAAGAAACCCAUUGGAGACAAUUGUCAAGGGAGUUGCGGCUAAAGGAAGGGGAUAGGAAUACAGGCUUCUUUCAAUGGAUGGCAAAUGCCAAUUGAAGAAAUAAUUCCCUGAAUAAAAUUAAGAUUAACGAGGUGUGGAUGACUGAGGAUCAGGGGGUGAGGGAGGGGAUUGUGAAUGCUUAUCAACAAUUGCUCUCAGAAUAGCCAAGCUAGAGAGUUGACAUUGAGGGGCUACACCUUCAACAUCUAAAUUUCCGUGAAGCUGAAGUUUUGGAGCUGCCUUUCACUGAGGAAAAAAUCCACUCUGCCUUGAUGGAAAUGAAUGGUGAUAAAGCUCCAGGCCCGGAUAGGUUCACAGUCGCUUUUUGACAAGCUUGCUGGGACUUUGUGAAGGAGGAGAUUGUGGAUUUGUUUAAGGAGUUUUAUGAUCAAAGAUCCUUUGCCAAAAGUUUUGGACCUUGGGGAUUUUCGACCCAUCAGCCUUUUAGGGGGACUGUACAAGCUUUUAGCCAAGGUGCUGGCGAAUAGGCUGAAGAAGGUUUUAGGAAAGGUGGUUUAUGUGGAUCAAAAUGUCUUUGUAAGGGGCAGACAGAUUUUGGAUGUUUCGCCUAUCGCUAAUGAGGUGAUUGACUUCUGACAUAAACGUAAAGAGAAAGAGCUGAUUUGUAAAUUGGACAUUGAAAAAGCCUAUGAUAGCAUCAAUUGGAAUUUUCUCAUGAAGGUUUUGCAUAAGAUGGGCUUUGGGUCUCGGUGGAUGGAGUGGAUUUGGUGGUGUAUUUCAACGCCAAAUUUUAUGUCCUGAUCAAUGGGGUGUCAGCAAGUUUCUUCUCGAACACCAAGGGGUUGCGUCAAAGAGAUCCUCUUUCUCCUUACCUUUUUGUCUUGGGUAUGGAAGUGCUAAGUACUCUAAUAAGAAGGGCUGCUGAUGGGGGCUUCAUUUCAGGCUGUAGACUUCGGGGGAGAGGGAGGAUGGAGACGAAUGUCUCCCAUUUACUUUUUGCUGACGAUACAAUCAUUUUCUACGAAGCAAGGAAAGAGCAUCUUACCUUUUUAAGCUGGAUUUUGGAUUGGUUUGAGGCAGCCUCCGGCCUAAGAAUAAACCUAGCUAAAAGCGAAUUAAUUCCUGUUGGGGAGGUAGAAGAGAUUGAGAAAAUGGCAGUGGAGCUAGGGUGUAGAAUGGGGUCUCUGCCCAAUGUUUACUUGGGGCUGCCCCUUGGAGCCCAUCACAAGGCUAUGUCUAUGUGGGAUGGGGUGGAAGAGAGAAUGAGGAGAAGAUUAGCCCUGUGGAAAAGACAAUAUAUUUCUAAGGGCGGGAGAAUCACCCUCAUUAAGAGCACACUGGCUAGCAUGCCUAUUUACCAAUUAUCCCUCUUUCGAAUGCCCAAGAUUGUUGCAAAAAGGCUUGAAAAAUUACAACGAGACUUUCUUUGGGAAGGAGGAAGCUUGGAAAGGAAAAUCCACUUGAUCAAUUGGGAGGUAGUGUGUACUCAAAAGGAGAAGGUUGGUCUAGGCAUACGGAAGAUUGAUCUCUUGAACAAGGUCUUGCUGGGUAAAUGGAUAUGGAGAUUUGCCUUUGAAAAGGAAAAUCUUUGGAAAAAGGUGAUUGGGGUGAAGUAUGGCCAAGAGGGCUUUGGGUGGAGGACUAAUGAAGCUCGCGGGACGUUUGGAGUGGGGGUUUGGAAGGAGAUUCUGAAUGAGGCAAAUUGGUGUUGGAAUAACAUAGAGUUUAAGGUGGCUAAUGGGACUAGAGUUAAGUUCUAGACUGAUCAUUGGUGUGGCAAUGCGACGCUGUCCCAAAACUUCCCCCAAUUAUUCGCCUUGGCGGUCCAUAGGAAUGCAACGGUCAAUGAAGUGUGGGACUCAAGCCUUGGUCAAGGAGGUUGGAAUCUCAAAUUUUCUAGAGAUUUUAAUGAUUGGGAGCUGGACUUGAUAGGAGAUUUGCUUAAUAUGCUGAGAGGCUUCAGAAUAUCUUCAGAGGAGGACUCAGUGUUAUGGAAAGGAGGGGGUCAUGGCACUUUUGGGGUUAGGGACGCUUAUUUUCUGCUGGUUGCUCCCAACGCCUUUGCCUUCUCGAAUAAGUGCAUUUGGGUGGAUAAGGUCCCAACCAAAGUUGCUUUUUUUGCUUGGGAGGCCACAUGGGGGAAGAUUCUCACCUUGGAUAGACUUCAAAAACGGGGGUGGCAGCUCCCUAAUUGCUGUUUUUUGUGUGGUUGUGAAGAGGAAAAUGUAAAUCACAUUCUUUUACACUGUAUAAUGGCCAGGGUCCUCUGGGAGAUCGUCCUUGCCUUGUUCGGGGUUCAGUGGAUAUUCCCAGAGACAGUCAAAGAGGUGUUAAUUAGUUGGAGGGGCCUUUUUGUGGGGAAAAAAAGGAAAAAGAUUUGGAAUUCCAUUCCGUUGUGUAUUUUUUGGAUGGUAUGGAAGGAAAUGAAUAGAUUAGCUUUUAGGGGGGGUUCUUUAACUAUACAGAAACUCAAAAAUUCUUUUGUAUGUAAUUUGUGGAGUUGGACUAGGGUGUAUAUUGAAGGGGAGUCCUCUUUGCUCUUAGGCUUUUUGGAGUGGCUAGCGGCCACUUAAGGGCUGGUGAGGUGUUUUUUACGUUUUUUUUUUUCAAGCUGCUAUGUAUACUCCAUGUAUGCUUUGUGGCUUUUUGCCCCUUAAUAUAUUCUGUGCUUAUUUAUCAAAAAAAAAAAUAGGCUAGCUGAGGGAACGCUUUAGGACCAAGACUCAUCUGAAGCCCUUGCAUAGCCUAACUAUAAGGCUAAAACAGUACAACCAGAAGUGCAAAAGUAACAUCUUUAGCUACCUCUUAGGGUGCAAAUACCAUCAAAGCAAAUCCAUGUUAUGUAAAUAUUGUUAAUGUAUGAGUGGAUAGAGUUCCUAUACAUAGUCUAUUGAAUACUAAGAAUCUGAUGAUCUUUGCAUCGGGGCUGAAUUUCAAAUUCUUAAUCUGACAUAAAUACAUUGCAACAAACCCCCAAUUUUUUUUCCCCUUUGGGAGGACAUAAUGGUCAGUAUACCCUCCAAGUGAUAAUGCUCUUUCAGUUUUCACAUUCAACUGUACAGGUCUCGCAUUCAACUGACCCUAGGGUAGAACAGCCAAGUCCAGCUUUUAAACAUUUUAAUUGACAUGAGAUAAACCUGCAUGUACCCACUUGGGGCAAGUGGUUGUGUCUAAGCUCAUAGCAUUGUAUGCUUGCAUGAGUAUGGACCACCAUACUCAUGGUUUUUUUCUGCUAAAUUGUUAUCUAUCAAAAUAUGGAACAACCAUAUGAUGUAUAUGCAAUGCAGCAGCUUUCCAUGUACAAGUACUCAUGUGCACCUAAAGCAUCAAGUGAUAUAAAUGUAAAACCACAAGUUGUAAAAACUAGCUGUAUACAAGAAGAAAUGAAUGCAUCAAAUUCAUACCUCUGCUGUCUAAUUUUCUCUGCUACAGGAUCUAGUGUGACUUCUGUUACUGCUUCAACAGCUUUUCCUUUCUUCUCAGUAGCUUUUUCCACAGGUUUCUUGGGAGGCUUUUCAGCAGGAGGUUGUAUUACAGGUGCCUGAUCACAUCACAUGAAUUAAAAUCGACUUUAGAGAACCAUAAUUAACAAGGAUGUUACUCCAUCAUGAGUGAAAAAAGAGGCCAAACACCAGAACUGCAAUAUAGAAUUCUCUAAUCCAUGUUCCCAACCCUAAUUGAACAUAUUAAACCUGGCCUCAUCCCACAUCCAACUCAAACUAUCCUGAAACCGCCCAUAUGUAAUUUAAACUGACUACAUGCAUCCAAAAACUUUCAACAAGAGGAUAAAAUCAAACAAAUAACAAAAAUCCAAAUCUGAAACAGCUCCACACACAACUGGGGUUUUCUAUUCUCAUUCUUAAUUGUCUAAAUCCCAAACUCAUUCAGAUAGAAGUGAGACACAGGACCACAGGUGGCAGAGUAUAUGGUCGAAAAUGAUUGUGUGGUUUGUUUGAAAGAUACGACGACAAUGACAUAAUUAUAAUUCAACAAAACGUUCAAGCACUCAAAUUCAGUAGAUGAAUAAACACAACCAUUUUGCCCGAUUUAUUAGCUAAUACACAUUCCAAAGGGCAUAUCACUGAAAAAUAUAGUCUCAUUCGCCAGUUGAUGUGUAAAACAACAUAUGGCUAGUGAUUUAAAAGGGUAAAUUUUGUGAAUAACAAACAAGGAUGCUAUACACCAAGGUAUACAGGAUGUUUGCAGAGUGUAUAUAUAUAUCUAGUCAAAGCUUAUCAUAAAUAUGAUUAAAGGAACAGAUGAAAACAGACUUCAGCCACAAUAUCUAAUUGAAGAACAUAAAUAGAAUUUAAUAAUACCGGAGCAGGCUCAUCUUCAUCCUCCCAUGACUCCUUCACAUUAUCGUCAUCCAAAUCUUCAUCAUCCCACUUAUUCUUAGGUUCCUCUUUUUUUCCAAGAGGUGUAAUUGGCUCAUCCUCUGAAACAAUAGCAUUAGACUUUAUAAAUUGAAUACAACACAAAGUAAAGAACAAACUCACUGCAAAGCUUAAAAGGUUGUAAUCUUUUAAUUAGAAAGAUUAUCUUAAUAUUUUUCUUCUGAUUCCAGAAAAGACCACCGACCUUAUCUUGUGCUCUAAUGUAGCCUAAACUACCUACCUCUAUGCAAACAUCACCACUUGGAAAUAAUUACUUUGCCUAUGGAGUUAAUAGUUAUAACAUAUGACCAAAGCAGAUCUGGCCCUCAAUACAACAAUUAUUUUCAAAGGAAAUGGUGGUAAUUGAAAUGAUAUCAAAACCUAACUUUACAUCAGAAACUUUUCAUUUACCAAACCACCACCACCCCCAUGGCCCCGACUGCCUCUUGCUAGUAGUUACCAAGUUGAGCCAAUCUAAUGGACUUAUUUAGUUUCAGGAAAUUGACAGCCUUUUCCUAGAAAAGGAUAUGAAUCAAAUAUGUCAAUCUCUGUGUAUUUCAAAAUCUUGGACUUGCAUAAUACUAAAGAUUAGCCUAUCAAAAAAAGAAAAAUAAAAAGAAAAAACAUUUCAUCUGAAUCAUAUUUGUCACAAACAAUCAUUUUUGACAUGUCAAAAUAUCUAACAACUUCAAGUAGUUGCUUGUCAUUAAAAUAUAAAAUUCAGCAAUAUGCUUAUGCUAAAGAAAUUAUGAUUAUCACAAAGAUAAUCAAAACUUUAUAUAGCAAAGGCAUGUUACCCCAGUCUUCCAUCUCUGUUUUCCGAUUUGGACAAAGUUUUUUUUGUUCAAGAUCUCCUUAAGUCAAGAAUAAAUGGAUGACCCUGCAUAUUGAAGGACACAAACAUGGAAAAGAUUUUACAUUAGUAAUUAGAAUAGUGUAAACAGCAACAUUAAAAGGUACAAGAAAGAAAAUGGAAUUAACAGUAUUCAACUGUCACUGAAAACAAUAACGAUAACAAGCAACAAGAAGUUCAAAGAAAUCAUCCACCAUAAAAACUGAGAGAUACAGUUUCCAACAGUCAUGAUUAAUGACUCCACAUUAAUCUCAAAACCAGAAAUUUCAGUGAAUAAACUUUCAAGAUUAUUUGCAAACAAAACUUGUAAAUAAUGUCAAAAACAGAAUCAGUGCCACCAUCUUCCAGGGUUUGGAGAAAAUCCAAAACCCAACUCAAAAAUCUACUCUAUUCUUGUAGGGUUGCAAGAAACCGCAAGAUUCUACCUAAAAUCAGAGCCAAUCUAUCAUAUUUUUCCAAUAAAAUGCAAACCCCGACUCAAGAACCAGUGUCAAUCCCAUAUUUUUCCAAGAAAAUAAAAAACCUAGCUGAAAAACCAGCACCACUCCCUCGUGGGGGUUCCAGGAAAUUUAAAACCCAACUAUUGACUUAUACCAAUUCAGUUGAGCCUCAUGAGAGGCUCUAAUUUUCUCGGGUCCCAAACCACAAAACUCCAAAAUUCAAACCCUUAAUGCCACCAUCUGCUCAGCAACCAAACAUAUUAAACAAAGAGCACCCCAAAACAAUGACAGGACCAAACAAAUUUCUGCCCCGCGUUUCCCCCGUAUAAAACCAAGAACGGAAAUUAAUUGAGAGAAAAAGAAUCAUUGUGAUUACCUAAAUUAAUCUAAAAAAAACCUUCUCUUCUUCAACUCAAGGGCGUCAACAAACCGAAACCCUAGCGAAGAAGGAGAAACCCUAAUAUCGAGCCUUCUAACACGGAAGAAGAAAAACCCUAAUAGGAAGAAGAAACGUUGAGAUCGAUUCGGAUUCCGACGAAAAGAGUGAGUGGUAACGCAAGACAGAAAUGACCGAAUCGGUUAUUAGGGUACGGUUCGGCUGCUGUGAGGGCAUCUUAUAUGAGAAAAUCAACGGGCGGAUCCUGAUUUCUGGAUCAUACGUUUCAACGGGUGAAACUUGACCCGAUUUGCUUCAUCCGACCCGACGCUUCGGGUUGAUCUCAUUAAACAACCUCUCCACCUUAUCUUAUAAUAUUAGAAUUUAAAGGAAAAAUAAAAAAUAUACUAUAAAUAAUAAUAAUUUCUAUAUAAAAUAUAUUCAACUUUAAAAAAAAUGCACUUUGUGAUAUUAAAAAUUACUUUUAAAUUUUUUAAAAUUUAAGAUAAUAAAAAUAUAUUAAUUCUUUUAAUUUUUUUAACCAUUUUUUAAAUUAUUGUUCUUUUAAGAUGAUUUUAUAAGAGUUUUUUUUUUCGUGCAUUUUUUCUAUGUAUUUUCUUUUUCUCAAAUUUUUCAAGUAUCAAACAUUCACAAGCUAUUGUUUGGUAGCUGUUUUUUUAAAACGGUUCUAAGAAAUAGUUUUUGAAAACAUUUUUUAAAACUAUUCUAUGAUAUUUUGUAGAAAAAAAAAAAUCUAUUUAACAACUGAAAUGUUUUUAACUUGUAUUUAAUAUUUUUAAAUAUAUUUAAAAAAUAAUUUUUAUAUCCAGUACUUUAUUUUUAAUUAUUUUACAUAUUUAUAUAAUUAUUUUCUAAAAUAAGUGAAAACAAGUAAAAAAAUGUUCUCUAGAAACAAUAACUUUUUUAUUAUCAAAUAUGUUUUUUUUUUUUUUUUUUUUUUGUGAGAAUAGAAAACUGUUUUAAAAAACAGUUACCAAACUCAUUGUUUGCCUUCCAAUGAUCCGGAUCAAGAAUGGUCAAAUGGAGUGUAAUAUUUUCUUUAUUGAUCAUACAAACACCAGAAUCCGAUAUUACCCGCAAGGCUUACUCUCCAGUACCUAUAUACUAAUCUCCAUGGAUUAAAGUUAAGGCACACACUGGGCAACUCAAUAGAGCAUUUCUGUUACUUGAAUUUCAUCUCAUUACAUGACAAGGAGCAUUAGCAUAUGUUGCAGUAUCAGCAUAGUGGCUGGUUAUGCUUUGCCUCUGGGAUGAAGCCUGGAAAUCCAAAUAUCAAAACCAAUCUACGUGUUGGGUUGAGCCCUUUGGUUGAUUCUUCGGCUUCUGAUACCGGUUGUUCUCAAACCUGGCUUUAACGAUAAGCGAAUAAAGCAAGUCUGCCUCAGCUGAAGUAUCAUAAGGUGUGUCCAAGAUGCUGCAAAUCAAAAUGAACCAUAAACACAGAAGUUAAUGAUAAAGCUCUUAACAUAUAAGCUGAUCCCAGAUUAUCCGUUAACUGGACUGGGAUUAACAUAAGUAGACAAGCUCUCACAUGAGUCUAAGGAAUGUAGACAAGCUCCAUUGUUUUAAUUUACUGGUUGCUCUAGAUUAGUAUAAAUCUCUAUACUUUUUUAACAUGGAUUUUCAGAAAGGAUGAGAUGUGUCUACCUGUCCAGAAGCUCCUCCAGAACGAUUCUCUGUGAAGGUGUAACAUAAUGAAUACAGCUUCUUGGGCACUGGCCAACUGCAAGCUGAACUUGGUAAUCUUCACCAUGUCCUGAUUAGAGUUCAUAGUGGCUUUAAAAUCCUCUUCAUUGUAGUUUGAUAGGCCAGGAGUUUAAUAGAGAUUAGGCUGACCUUGAGAAGUUGCUCGUGCGGUUCCGGUUGAAGAAACAAAUGUGAAGGCAUGAGGUGCUUUAUUUACACACGAAUACGGACAGCCUGCAGAUAUUUUGGAAGGUUGGUGAGAAGAGAUCCAUGUACAAAUUUAUGCUUUUGCAGGCUUCUCAGAAAUUUGAAUGAGGAUAACUCAUGAACUUCAGGUACAUGACAACAGAACAAUCCAAGGGUUCAAUCAACACGAUGUUACUUAAGGGAGUCCUCUUCACAACAGAGGGCAAGAACAGAGAUCCCUGUUGCUUGUCACAAAUAUUAUUUUCAUCCCUGGAAUUCAAUAACGAUAUGAGAUAUACAAAGCUAUAUGCUCACUCUUUAUGUAGAACUGCAGGCAAUGAUUUUCUGUAAUUGAGGGGUUUUGGACUUGCAAGACAAUUUCUAGCUAUUGCAGCCACACAACUCCUGAAAGGGAGUGUAUCACCAACAGUUCAGGGUUUUUGUUUCUUAGUAGACCAGGCAAGAUGAAGAAAGCUCAAUACCUAAGUUCUACUAUCCGAUGCUUUCAAAAUUCAUUGAACUACUAGCUCAUCAACAGUUCAGGGUUUAAGGUAGAAGUUAGAGUGAAGCCACCAUACCUUUGCCAACACAAAGAACUUCAUUAACAAAGAGAUCAAAUGCCUCGCAUUCCGGCUCAUCAAAUGGAUCUAAACAUUCCCUACAAAUAUACAUGUCCAACAUUAAGAACGACACUAAGAACAAAAAAUUUUCAAAGAAUGGUGGGGAUCAUAAAUAUAUAACUUAACUGAUACGUAAAUAACGAACUAAAAACAUACUAAGUUCCUUCAAAUGAUUCAGGAGUAGCACAGUUGACAUCAGAGAUUAACAUUACAAAUUCAGGAUCUGGGAAAACUCCAGUUCAAGGAAUUAUUCAAAGGUUGGAAGAUAAUGAGUACAAAACUGCAGAAGGGCAUUACAUGUAAAAAGGACAGAAGAUGGAGCUUCCUUCCCAGAAUAAUUCAGAGGUUCAUUUGUGAAUAAUUUAUCGAAAUCUGCAAAUAGAUUUUGGAGCAUGCAAUCACGGAAUGAAUACAAAUUAUUGUGAGUGGCUUCUGAAUUUUUCAAUAACCCGAUAUGUCCAUUAGAAACUUGAAAAUAACAAAAGUUUUGGAUGAAGCAAGAUAGAACAGAAAUGGCAAUACCAUAUGGCUAAGAAACAACAGAAACAUUCCAUUACUAGAUUCCAAGAACUUGAACACUCAGUUUACCUCUCAAUGAUCUCUGAUCGGCUGCAACAGGAUAACAGCUGCAUACAAUAUUAAACCGCUAGAGUCAACAAUUUCUAUCAAUGGCGACUAGUUAUAGAAGUACAAACAUUAUACAUGUGAGCUCAAUAGAAAAAACUAAUAUGACAACUGAAUCAAGCCUAUUACAACUAUUAGGUUUUCAGGUUUUUUUUCCUUGAAACCAAACAAAGAAGAAUGAAUCACUCCAUGGUGGUCCUGUGUCUUCCUUUGAAUCUUUACUAAAGAAAUCGAACGAAAUAAAUUGUUCUAGUUUUAUAUAUGAUUGUACCUCGUAUGCUUGAAUUACAAGGCGAAUCAUCUUGUCUGAAUCUCCCCCUUCUUUAUUUACAUCGGGGUGAAACUGCUUGACCUGUACUAAAAACCAAAAAAGGCGUCAAUCCCCAUUUCUUUCAUGUUCGAAUUUUAAUGCCAGAGAAACAUUAAUUUCUUGUUUGAUUCUUGAGAAAAUGUAGGAAAAGAAAAGAAUUUAUAGUGGAAACUGCAGAUUCUUUAUUACUUUAUCCCAGAAACAUCACUCUGUUGUGCCUAUUACUUCUCCUUUGCUUAGUUGAUUUUUCAUUUGCUCACAAAAGGUAUCAAUUCUCUGUUUGGUAUCUGAGAAAAUGCAGGAAAAGAAAAUAAACUAAACUUCGAAUCACAUAAUAUUCACCGUUCGGAACCCAAUGAAAGAAUGGGAAAAAAAACAAAAGAACAAACCCCAACCCAAAAGUGGAAUACCACCGUUUGGCCUAGAAGGCAAAAAAAAACAUGCAUAAAAUUCAAAAUUUUAUUUUCUUUUCUUCCAUUUUCCCGGGAGCCAAACAAAAUAAAUCAAACAAUUCUUGAAUUUUUUUUCAUACUUUGGCUCUGAAAGCGGCCUUAAGCUCGGGAGCUGAGCAACUGGGGUCGACCCCAAGGACAGCGUAAGCCGAAGAAUCAGAGAGUUUCGGUUCUUCUCCAGUUCUGUCUCUACAAUUCACUGUAAAUCGAGACGUUGAACUUGAAGAAAACGAUAACGAAGUCUUGAAGGUGGCAGGAAAAUUGAAGCCGUUAAGAUUGGUAACCGAUUUUGAAACGGUAUUGAUCGGAAGGGUUGAAUUGUAGAGAACCAAACACCCCAUCAUCUCCCUCUCUCUGGCUCUGCUGCUUCAUCCCCACACAGAGUGGGCUCCAAACGCCAGACUUAAAACGAUGCGUUUUAAAGGAGGACGACGUCGUUUUGAAGGAUGAGUAAGGAUUAAUUUCAUUGUCUUUUUGGGCUUUUGGCACCACUUUUAAAUAAACUAUCAACUUUACUAAAAACUUAAACUUGUUUGAUUUGGAUUCACAAUAUAUAUUGUUAGCACCAUUGUUUGCAAUUUUUGUAACAACUUACACUCAAUCAUGUAAAUAUUGUUAAUUUUAGGUCUGAAGGGGUCUUCAUGCCUUUAAAACGUAUGUACAAGGUUAAAAAGAGUCUAUACUUGUAUAAUGUUAGGAACUUUUCCUCUUAUUUAAUGUGGAAUAUCACAAAUACAUCAAACAAACCUUCAUAUUGAUUUGUAACAACUUAUACCUAACUUUAUAAAUAUUAUAUGUUUUAGGUCUAAAGGGGUCAUCAUGACUUUAAAACACAUUUACAAGGUUGAGAAGAGUCCAUACAUAUAUAACAAUAAAAACUUUCUCCCCUAUCCGAUAUGAGACAUCACGAUAAGCACAUUUAACUAAGAAGUUUUGAUGUGAUCUGAUGCAUUAGUGUUUGUGUGAUUGCACCCAACCAUGUAGAUAUUGUUCGCUUUAGAACCAAUGAGGCUCACAACUUUCAAACGCAUAGACAAGAUUAAAAAGAGUCUAUACAUAUAUAGUAUUAUGAACUUCCUCUUCUAUCCGAUGUUGGGCAUUACAAUCAUCCCCUCAUGUCGACAUAAUGUCUUCAUUGUGUCCCACGAGAUUAUGGAGCCAAACAAACAAACACCCCUCAUGGGAUCAAACAAACCCCCACACUAAAGUCGAGGAUUGACUCUGAUACCAUUUGUAAUGACUUGCACAUAACUAUGUAAAUAUUGUCUGCUCUAAGACCAAAAGGGCUCCUACAACUUUAAAACGUGUCUAUAAGGUUAAAAAAGUUCAUACUUAUAUAGCAUUAGAAACUUUCUCUCUUAUUCGAUAUGAGAUAUCACAAAUAUUCUCUCAUGCAGACACAACGUCCUCGUUGUGUCUGUAUAGGGGGUAUGAUUGUGAUGUCCCACAUUAGAUAAGUGAGAAAAUUCAUGAUGAUAUAUAAGUAUAAACUCCUCUUAACCUUGUAGAUGCAUUUUAAAGUCAUAAGAGUUCCUUUGAGCCUAAAAUGGAUAAUAUUUAUAUAGUCAGGUAUGAGUCAUUACAAAUGGUAUCAGAACCGAUCAUUGACUUCGAUGUGGGGGUUUGUUUGACCCCAUGGGAGAUAUAUGUCUAUUUGACCUUACAAUCCCAUAAUAUAUAACGAAGAUGUUAUGUUUAUAUGAAAGAGUGAUUGUGAUGUCCCAUAUUAGAUAGGCUUCUUUUAACCCUAUAAGCGCAUUUUUAAGUUAUGAGGACCCAUUUGGGUUUAAAGGGAACAAUAUCUUCAUUGUUGGAUAUUGGUCAUUAUAAUUUUAUUUAUUUUCGUUCUAGUAUAGGGUUUUUUAGACAAUGACUUACUCUUUAUUGAAGAUUUGAGGCUGUCGUUUAAUUAAGCGUACUGUCACAGGUAAGCUUGAAAAGAUUAAAGUUAAAAUAAGCUAGUUUUUAAACAAGGUAUAGUUGGGUCGAAAAUUUUAAAAUUAAGUUAAAAUGUCUUAAGAUGGUUUUUUAAUUUUUAAUUUUUAUUUUUUAUCUUGGCACAUUGUAUGAAGGUUUUUCACAUAAAACUCUUUUGUCUCACGCGUGUUUAUUUGUUUUUUAUAUUGUCCACUUUCUCAAAUAAAUUGAACAUCUCAACUCUUGUAUUAAAAUCUUUAAAAACAUCCAUCUACACCCUGAGGGUGUUUCUCAUAUUAUAUCACAUAACUUUCAGAUAUUGUAAUGGACAAUUGCAAAUUAGGAAAUAAAUAUGUAAAUGGGUACCACUUUUUCUAAAAGCUUUUAAAUUUUUUUCUAUUUUGGGUUAUAAUGUGUAUCAUGUUAUUAAUAAUAUUCUUGCUUUUGUUUCAUGUCAAAUAAAACAAUUUUAAAUUUUCAAACGCGAGAAAAGUCACCCGAUAAAAUGCUUUUUACUCAUAUGCAUUUCAGGGUGUAGGGAUUCUCAUGGAAAACACUUUCCAUGGCUGGCAUGGGAGUUGAAGAAUUCUUGUGCAGCCCAAGGUAAAAGAGGGAUUCAUGUGUUACCUGAAUUGCAUUUUAUCUGAUUUACAAUUUGAUUAUAUGUAUGUUUGUGCAGUCUAGUUCUUGUGUUGCUCAUUUCUAUAUGUGCUAAAUGGAGGAUUUCUUUUUCAUCCGGAACCCUAGUAUUGCAGGAGAUAGUUGCUUUAUGGGUCAGUCUUCUUACCAAAUCUUAACUCUAUGCUGACUUCUUUUUCUUUGAUUUCCUACUCUUUGUUCUGCGUAUGUGUUUUCAACCUAACUAUUUUCAUAGGGAUCAAUGGAAAUUAUGAUUUUUCAAAGAAUAUUGAAAGUAGAAGAAAAUUAAGCAUUUGUGAAAUAUGGAGGAGCAAAAUGAUUUCUUAGUUUUAGCACAUCAGUUUACAGAAGAUAUUGUAAUUUCACAUGAUGAAAAUGAAGAGGGCAACCCGGAUUUCCAAUGGAGGGACUUUUAGGGCUUGGGGGACUAGAAAUGCAAGAUAUAAGUGCAAAAAUUGGAGUUACCCAACCAUAAAUCUGUCCGAAAAACUCGCUGUAAGGGGAGGAUGUUCCUCAUACACAAGAUGGAUUUACUGUGGGGAUAAUUAGAUCCUAGAUGUUUGUAAGACUCAAUUCUAUCCAGUUUGCAUCCUUUUGGGGCUCCAUCAUGUGGGUUCUUUCCCCUUUUCGGUCAUCUUAAACUGGCUCUGAUGGUUGUUCGAUUGGUAACUCCGAAAGAUCAGAAUAGAUGUAUCUGCUAAGAUAAUGGAUGAAAUGAUAUGCUAACUUAGUAACUCGAAAAUAAUGCCCCGUGUGUUCCUCCUAUUAGGGUAUAUUGAAUUCUAAUUCAAGAAAUUUUUGCAGUAUUCAGGGUGGAAGCAGAUCACUUUAUCUUUUGUACUAGGGAUUUAAGAGGUUUAGGCAGAUGCUUGAAAGUUUAUUCAUACUUAUUGUGAAGCAGAUCAUCUGGAAAACUGGGGAGUUAUCAUGCUGAAGACAUUUUUCUCCUUAUUGAAGUUUUCCAAACAAACCCUUCCAUCUAGGGUGAAUUAUUGGUUUCAUUUGGCUUAGUAGGAGAUUUCAGAUAGAAGCCAUCAAUCCUGGCCCUCAAGGGUGGAAUGGUAUGAUUACCAUCUAUGUAAAGACUUUGAAAUUUUUUUGUCAUUAACAAGCAUUUGUCGAUAAAUUUGCUUACCAUCUUCCACAAAUGAAAUUAUGGUUUUGAGUGUAUAAUUAUAGCUGCUUAUGAUGAAAGGGAAAAACACUGGCAAAGGACUCACUGGUUUUUUCUGUACAAAUGGGAGCAAUCUGUUAUUCUGCUUUCUUACUACACACAAGCAACACGAUCAUUUAUAGUUGUAAAUAGAGAGCUCUUCUUCUUACAUAGACUGAGAGUGAUGGAGGUUUACUAUUUUGAGUUCAGUGACAUGUCCACAUUUUCUUCCUUUGCCAUAUAAAGUGUUCCAAAUCCCAUUUCUUUCCAGACAUUCUUUAGCCUUUGAGCAACCGAAGAGAUAAGGGGACGCUUUUGGGGGUUCUCUUCUGUACACAUCAUCCCUGCAUCAAGCAUGUGGAUACAGCAUUGCUCAAGCUUAUGUAAAGCACCACUCCCCUCUUCCAAAUAUGCUUCGUGCUUCAGUGAGAUGUCUACAAUAUCCAAAACUUGAUUUGGAAAAGCAGAACACACCCAUUUCCUUAGAUCAAGUCCAUCUGAAAACAUUUCAUUCGUUGGUCUCUUCCGUGUUAUCAUCUCUAACAUCAUCACUCCAAAACUGUAUACAUCUCCUCUUGUUGAGACAUCGAUCCCCUGCCCAUAUUCUGUGUACAAGCAAUAGGAACUAUUAGCUGAAUCACUAUACUUUUAUUUAUAGCCCUUCAAAUUAGGAUAGUUUAAUGAAAGAGACAUUUAAUGAAAGAGACAUGGAUAGAUGCAGUUGGUUCAUAUUAACUAUCUGAAUAUCACAAGAGGGCAAGCAUCCUUCUUUUUAAAUGCUUCUCAUUGGAAAAGAGAUUAGGGAAUGGAUCCUGUACUUAAAGCAAAGCGGGAGAAUAAGCAACAAGACAUACCAUGUUAAACAAAUUUAUCAUAAUGGUAUAUGAGGAAACACACAAAACCCUAUUUUUUCUUCUGUAUUUCUAUCCUAUUAUUCACAGUUAGUUCUCUAGAAUAUAUGACCAUUGGGUAGGCAGUCAAAUGAAUGGAAACUAGACUAGUUUGAAGUUCAUGUGAGAUGACAGAUUGGCAUUCAUGAUUAAAAGUAAUUAUCUAGUCUGAUAACUUAUCAUUUACUUCUCAGAUUUGAAGGUAGGUCACUAACUGUUCCAAGAACAUUCAAAGGGAUUAUGAAGCAUAGGAUUGAAGAUUUAUAUAAGGUAAUCAAAUGCAUACCUGGGGGGAUAUACCCGACAGAUCCUCGUAGAAAAGCAGUUGUGGUAGUAACAUGUCCUCUUGGUUUGUCACCUGAAAUGAGCUUUCCAAUACCAAAAUCUGCUACAUGAGCCACCAUAUCAUUGUCCAAAAGAACAUUUUGUGGUUUCAGGUCACAGUGUACAACUUGAACAGGACAACCCUCAUGAAGAUACUCCAAGCCAUUUGCAACAUCUAUUGCUAUUCCCAUUCUUUCCCUCAAUUUUAAUUCACUACCUCCUUCAUCUGACCCACCAGGGUAAAGAUGCUGUUCCAAGUUCCCAUUGCCUAUAUAUUCGAGAACAAUAGCCUUGAAUCCUGAAUUCCAGGUCGAUCCUAUCAUUCUAACCAGAUUCCUAUGUCUAAUUUCAGACAGUAUUUGACACUCCCUUUUAAAACUUCUGUAACCCUGAACACACUCUUCUUGCAGAACCUUAACUGCCACAACAGUUUUUCCAUCAUUGAUGAUAGCUUUAUACACCCUACCAAAACUUCCUUUCCCUAACAGAUUAGCCUCAUCAAAACCGCCAGUUGCAAUUUCGAUUUCCCUUUCAGUUAAAGUUUGGGUUCCAUGAUGGGUUGGGGAACACAUUAGAAUUGCAGUCUCCGCACCUGCACUCCUAUUUUUGAAGAAGAAACGACGAACAGUGAGGGCGAUCAGCACAAAGAGAAGCAGAGAACAAGUUAUUAUUGCAAACAAGUAAUAAAUCCAUUUCCUUUUCUUGUGCUUUUGUUUCUGAAUUUCACAUGGAUGGAGACCCAUAAGUUUGGUGCCACCACAGAGCCCCAUAUUCCCCAUGAAUGAGCCGCUUCCUAGAUUUUUAUACCUCCCACUAUUUGGAACCUCUCCUGUUAAUCUGUUAUACGAUAAAUUGAGAUUCUUGAUCUUCUGGCUGUCACCAAUCCAGAUUGGAACAUUUCCUGUUAAAUUAUUGAAAGCCAAGUCCAGAUAUCCUAGAUCAAUGAUUUGCUUCAGGGACUCUGGGAUUGUAGCUUCAAGCAUGUUGUGAGAGAGGUUCAGAUACUCCAUUGAAAUGCAUCUUCCAAUCGAACUUGGUAUCACUCCGAAGAAUUUAUUCGCUGACAAGUCAAUUGCCAGCACAGAUGCCAGAUUUCCAAUACUAGCAGGUAGUUCUCCUUGAAGAUUGUUGUUCGAAAGGUUGAGUGAAAGAGCUAGGUUUGAGAAAUGACCAAUUUCUGUGGGAAGAGACCCUUGUAAGUUGUUAAAAGACAAGUCAAGAAGCAUUAGAAGAGAACAUUGGGUGAGUUGGAUGGGAAUUUUCCCUGUGAGGUGGUUGUGAGACAAGUAAAGAUAUCUCAACUGUGACAGGUUACCAAGAGAAGAUGGGAUUGUCCCACUAAUCAAAUUAUCACUAAGUUCCAGUAAACCAAGGUUAGCCAUCUGCCCAAGUUCAUCUGGAAUUGGCCCAAGAAGUUUGUUUCUUCCCAAGUGUAAUCUCUGCAACUGCCUAAGCUUCCCAAUUGUUGCAGGAACUCCAUUCAAAAAAUUAUACCACAGGUCUAGAGUCACAAGGCCGCUUAGAUUUCCAAUUUCAGCUGGUAGGUCUCCUGUUAAUUUGUUGUUUCGAAGAUUCAAGUAGUAGAGGUCUUUGGAAAGACUGCCAAUUGAAGCCGGUAAACUUCCUGCAAACAGACAUGCCCCUAAGUGCAGUUUCUGUAGACGUGAACAAUUAGUGAGAGGAGUUAGAAAACUGAGGGAAGAGUUGUUGGAACCGCUCACCAGGUUAUUGCUAUGAAGGUAAAGUCUCUCAAGUUUCUUCAACUUCCCCAACUCAGGAGGGACUUCCCCCUCUAACUGGUUGAGGCUAAGAUCAAGCAGUGUCAGCUGAGAAAGAUUGGACAGGGUCACUGGAAUUUUCCCAGAAAGUUGGUUUUGUUGGAAGUACAAUCUCUGCAAGUUAUGGAGCUUUGACCCCAAUUCUAAAGGGAUUGUUCCCGUUAACCGAUUCUCAAACAGUGUAAUGUGACGCAGGGCAGUGCAAUUACUGAUGGAUGCAGGUAUGCUUUCUUCCAAAAAGUUCAUGUGGAGGUACAAUAUCUCCAGCUUUGUUAAUGCUCCUAGCUCCUCUGGAAUCCUUCCUGUGAAGUAAUUAACCUGCAAUUCUAAAUCUUUCAGCUUGGUUAGAUUCGAAAGAAACGAUGGUAUAGCUCCAGUGAGGCUGUUCUGAGAGAGACAUAGGUAUGUCAAGUUUGUCAUUUGGCCCAGUACAGCAGGAAUGCUUCCAGUCAGAUUGGUAUAGUCCAAGUCUAUUGUCUCCAGGCUCCAGCAGCCUUUUAUUGAGGCUGGAAUAUUGCCCCCAAGCUUAUUACGACUCAUGUUUAUGAAUGUUAACUCAGAAAGCUCUCCAAUGGUAGCUGGAAUCCCUCCGUACAAGCUGUUGGCUUGCAAAGAGAGGGUGGUGAGAUGGGAUAGAUUGGAUAUGUAUGGUGAGAUAACUCCCUCUAAGCGCAUGUUUAUGAGCUCAAUGGCUAUGACCCGGUUCUUAAGCUGCUGGUGGCAUGUAAUCCCUGUCCAGUUGCAGAAGAACAUGGUUUCAUUCCAAUCUUGGAGAUGACCAUCUGGAUCACCUGUUAUGCCUUGUUUGAAUUUGAGCAGAGAUUGACAAUCAGUGGAGUUUUUGCAGAGGAAUGUGGAAGUUGAUAGUAGAGCAAGAAAACUAAGAGAGAAAAAUACUGCCACAGCAACGGGAUUGUUCUGAUUGUAUGCCAUUCUCUCUCUCUCUCUCUCUCACUGUGUGUGUGUACAACUUUUGGAAGAAGAUGUUAGAUUUUAGGCCAGGAUUUUUUUCUCACUUGUUAGGUAGUAGUUUAAAUAGAUGGGCUCAGUUGUUCAAAUGGUUCAGACAACUUGGCCUAGUGAGGGGCAGGUGGUGAGCCCUCAUUUAUCACUGGGACCAUAGAUUAGGUAUAGCCAUCACCUGUCUGGGCCCCCCAGUCUCUUAACUACAUUCAAUCCCUUCAAUGCUGUUUGACAUUUUCUUCCAUGACAGAAUUAAUAGCUAUGGAGUUUCCCAAAAUUUGCUCCAAACCCAUUCUCAUGUUUAUUUUAUUUAUUAUUAUUUUCAUAUUUUAUAUUUUGUAUUUAUUUAUUUUUCUUUAUUAUUAUUAGUUAUUAUUUAUUUUAUUUUUUACUUUCCCCCUUUUUUUUAUUUUAAUUUUAUUUUGUUGGUCGAACAUAGAUUUGUAACGCAUGGGAGGAGGGUUGAAUUUCAUGAAAAAAAAAUAAGGGUCGAAAAGAUGAUAAAUGGGAGAAGCUUAUUGUGGGUUUGAUUGGGUACAAAUUCUUUUGUAUAUAUCUAUAUAAUUGAAUAUUUAAUUUAGGAAAAUCCAAAAAAUUGUUUCAAUGAAAUUCAAAAAAUUGUUUUUAAGAACAAUUGCCUGAAAAAUUAUUUAUUUAAUAAAAAUUGUUUUUUCGAUUAAAUUGUCCCAAAAGUUAAUUUUUAAUAAUAUUAUCUUAAAAAGUGAAAAUUUAAAUUAAACUCUAUUUCCUUAAUUAAAAUGGGAUAAAAAGUAAUUUUUGUAAAUUAAUGUCUUAAAUAAUCUUUUCAUAAUAAUAGAAUGAGAAUCUUUUUUGCAAAUUGAAGUUAUAGAAAUCAUAUUCUUUUUGUCAAAUUGAAAUACUUUUGUAAAUAAAGUUAAAAAAUUUAUUAUUUUUCUAGUAAAAGUAAGUAAAAAUCAUUUUUAUUGUCAAAUUAGAAUUUUUUAAAUAAAUUCUAUGCAAAUAAAAUUGAAUCUAAUCAUUUAUUUUUGUAAAUAAAUAAAUUAAAAUAUUAAAAAAGUAAUAUUUAAAAUAUAUUUUUUAAUCAAUUUAAUAAAUCAAUUUGUAUAAUUCUAAUGUCAUUUAUUUUUUUUAUUUUUUAAAUUUAAUUUUAUAAUUAUUUUCUUAUAUAUUAAUUUGUGUCUUUAAUCUUUAUAUUCAUGAUUAAUCAAUUAACUAUCAUAAUUCCUUUUAUUUGUUUAGUAAAGAUUGUUAGUAUACAUGCUUAGAGGGAUAUUACGACUUAUUAUGGUACAUUCACGAUAAGCAACUUAAACCUUAAAUCUAGACUUGAUUUUACAAAAAUGUCUUUUCUAAAUAAGGAGUUAUACAAAGUUUUCUUUCUUAUUUUGUUUUUUCUUUUAAAAAAUAAACUAAAAUAUGUGGCAACCCUAAUCUAUUCAAAAAAUCAAAUUUUCACAAUAAAAUUGAGUCUCAUUGUCGGGGAGACACACCAAAAAAUAAGGGUCGAUAGACAUCCAAUUGAUUGGGAUCAAUGUCAAGAUGUAUGAUAAAGUUGCAUAAUUUGAAUAUAAAUCCUGCCAUUGAUUGAAUCUUGAACUACUCAAUACUGGUUGUAAUAGGUGAGGUGAGUUGCUAAGGUUUGGGUCGAAAAGCUCAGCCAUGGAAAGUUACUAGUCAUCUAAAUAUGUAUAUAAAUCAAAGUGCACACAAUUGAUUUUCUUUUUCUCUUUUAAAUCUAAGAAAUCAACCUCCUUAAGAAAUCAACCUCCUUAAUGUAAUUCUUAGAGCAAAUUACAUUAAGAGAGCGUUUGACAGUGAUUUUAGGAAGUAUUUUUAAUUUUUUUAAUACUUAAAAAAUAAAAAUUUUCAAGUAUUAAAAAGGUUAGAAACACUUCCUAAAAUCAAUGCCAAACACACUCUUAACGUAAUUUGCUUUAUCUACCACUUGAUGUGGAUGUUAAGAUUGAUUUCCUUUGCCAUUGCCUAUAAUCCUUAUCCAUAAUAGCAAGAAGACAUACAUUGAAACAUGAAUACCCUUCCAUUAUGUUUGGUUUCAAAAAACACUAAGAAAAGAAAAUAUUAUGAAAAAUAUUUUUCUUAUAUUUAGUUUUAUUAUGAAAAAUGAGAAAAUAAAAUAAAAUGUAAUUAUAAUUAAUUAAAAAUAAUGUAUUUUAAAAUUAUUUAAUAUUUAUAUAAUAAAGGAGAAUAAAUUAAACGAGUUUGAAAAAGUAUAUAAAAAUAAUUUAUUAAUUAUAACUUGUAUGUGAUUAUUUUAUACUUUAAUUUCAUUUUUCUUUUAUUCUCUUUUAUGUACCUUGAUUUUAUAUAUUUGUAUCUUUAUUCAAUGUUUAGAUUUCAUAUAUUUAUAUAUUUAACUGACAUUGCAAGAUCUGUAUUGAUUGAGAUUAGGGAUGGCAACGCACUAUGCUUGAGAUAGGUUACUCAUAUCUCAAUCCAUUAUAUUUAUUCGUAUAUGUUAUCAUCCCUACAAAAAAAAAAAAGAAGGAAAUUAAAUGGGAUGAGUCAUGUAUAAGAAAUUCUUAUACCUGCCUCAUACUAUCCCAUUUAUUUCUUUUUUCAAUUGCUUUUCAAUUUUUAUUUUUAAAAUUUUAAGAAAAUUAAUAUUUUAAAUAUGUUAAAAAAAUUGAAAAUUGAAAAACGAAAUCAAUUAAAAUAAAUUUUUAUUUAACAUUAUACAUAAUUAGGGUGAGGUAGGAUGAGACAAACUCAUACCCAAAAUCACCCCGAAUCAAUCUCAGGUUUUAAAAAAGUUCUCAGAUUCAAGAUGAGACAAAAUCAUAUCCAAAACUACCUCAAAUCCAUCCUAGAUUUUAAAAAUUUUCUCAAAUUUAUCUAAACUCAUUUAUUAUUAUCUCAAAACGAGCCCAUUAAGGUUAAGACGAGUGCAAAAAAAAUUGGUAUAUUGUCAUCCCUAAUCAAGAUCCUAAAUUUUUUCUUUAUGAUAGUGAAAACAACAAUCAUAGCCGUCAUCUCUCUUUCAGUUUACUUGUAAGUUUGAUUGAAUACACUUUAUGUGAUUUUUUAAAAUACUAAAAGUAAGAGGGUGUUUGUUUUUUAAUUUGCUUUUUGCUUAAGUCAAAUUGUUUUCAAAAUUUAGGUUGUUUGUUUUUCUACUUUUUCAUAACUUAUUAUUGAAUAGAAAAAACUAAAAUAUUUAAUUUUUUUUAAAUAGAAAAAAUAAUAUAUUGAUUUUUCUUUAUUUUUUUAAUACUUAAUAGAAAUAAAAUACUACAAAAACAAACAAUCUAAUAUUUAAUACUAUUAAACAUUAAGUUUCUAUUUAAAAUUAAGCAAAAAACAAACAUCAAUGACUUUUUUUUUUUUUACUUUUUAGUACUUAAUAAAAAUAAAAUAUUAAAAAAAACAAAAAUUUUGAUAUUUAAUACUUUUAAACACUAUUUAAAUUUUAAGUUUUAUUUAAAAUUAAGUUAAAAAAAAGGAACACUCCUUCGUCUGAAAUUUUUAGGUCAAAGCUUAGUCUGACCCUCAUCUAAACCCGAGCCAAACUUCAACCAAAAAGACGUGCGUCUAGCGCAGUUACAUGUGUAGCAUCCAAACGCUAGACUGGGUGGGUUUUAUCAAACCCGACCAAUUCAUCCCCUUUGCCUUAAGUUGACCACCCGGUUCGGACCAGCCUUGACAUGAACUGCAAGGUCCAAUGGAUUGGGUUGAUUUGGGGUCUUGGGUUUUUUUUUUUUUUUUUUUUUUAUAGACCAGAGUGGUGAGUUAGUCUUUGCAUAAACUCACCAAGUCUUCAAUGGGUAGUUUUUUCUUCUUUCUUUUUUUGGCUUUCGAGGACAAGCGGUUACACCAAUACAUGUUGAUUUACGUAGGAUUAGUCAGUAUACAGAUCUUAACCAGACUAUAAAGAAAUGUACAAUCAGGUGGAGGCAGGUCCAAUUUAAUAUCAAUCUGCAUGAUCCAUACGUUUACAUAUAUAGUAGAGUUUUCUGCUCUUUUAUUAUCGGUACCCAAGCACUGAAAAAUCUGUAAAAGUAGUGUCAUUAAAAUAUGUUUAUUAGGUCAUUGGAUUAGGCAUGCGGACGUGGGCGUUGAGUAUGCUUUUACUUGCGAGUGUCUUGCUACCUUAGACACGAAACCCUCCUCUUCCACUCAUUUUGUUGCGGAAGGAGGCCAGGCCAUUCUUAUUCAAACAAAUUAGCUGGGAACUUUGAAAUCUUAAACCGUUGUAGAUAUGUGAUAAACUAGUACACCUUGUAUGAGAUAAUCUAAUCCUGAUUAUUUCUAACAUUGUCAAUUUUAAUCAGCUCCGGCCUGUAUGUUGUUGGACCAGUUUUACACAAACACGUAGUUCACAUGGAAGUGGGUCCUGAGGUCAGUACCUGUUACAUCUCCAACCACAAAAGAAUUAACUAAAAAUCAAAUGUGCAAUACGAGUACAAUCAGUAAUGGGGCAGCGCACUGACUUUGAAUUAUAUGGUUUAACCAUUAAACACUUUGAAUUUCUUCAUCACGUAAUCCAAAAGUCUACCUCCUCCUCCUCCUCCUCCUCCUCCUCCUCCUCUCUCUCUCUCUCUCUCUCUCUCUCUCUCUCUCCAUGGAGUCUCCCAGCACCAUCAGACUUGCCACUUCUCUCUGCUGUAUUUGCGUGCUUUUAUCUUUUACUGCCACGGUGAUCAACCCUGUUGUUGCUUUGGAAAAUUGCAAAUUUCCAGCAAUCUUUAACUUUGCAGACUCCAAUUCAGACACAGGCGGAUAUGCUGCUGCCUUCUCUCAACCUCCCUGGCCUUAUGGGAGGACCUUUUUUCGCAUGCCAGCAGGCAGAUUCUCAGAUGGUCGCCUCAUGAUUGAUUUCAUUGGUACGAUUUACCUUCUCUUUAAACCUAUUUUCUGCAUAUCUACCUCUCCUUGGCCAAGAGCCAGUGUUUAUAAAAUCGGUACAGGGGACAAGAAAAGCCAAAUUCAGACAUUCAUUUUUAAUUUCAUUUUCCAUCAAAAUUAGAAAAAGGCCUAGCAAAUGUACUGUUUUAGUCUAGGCCUAACAAAAACUUGGCAGCAUUAUUGAUUUGGGCAAAAUUUACAUGGUUUCAGCCAACAGUUUUGGUCUACCAUUUCUUAGUGCUUAUCUUAAUUCUCUGGGGUCCAAUUACACAAAUGGUGCAAACUUUGCCACGGCUGCUGCUACAAUCCGAUUACCGACUAGAAUAAUACCUGCAGGUGGGUUCAGUCCAUUCUACCUGGGCUUGCAAUACGAUCAGUUUGUGCAAUUCAAGUCCAGAACACUAAAGAUAAGGAAACGAGGUGAUAAUUUAACAUUAAUAGACGUUUUGUAGUGCAUAGCAAUAUAAAUGAUAUUUUUCUAAGUGGCUUUUAAUGAUUUUUAGGUGGGGUGUACAAGGACUUAAUGCCCAAGGAAGAGUAUUUUCCCAAAGCUCUAUACACGUUGGACAUCGGUCAGAAUGAUCUUGGUGAAGGGUUCUUUGCUAACAUGUCUAUCCAGGAAGUCAAUGCAACCGUCCCUGAUAUAAUCAAUGGUUUCUCCACCAAUGUUAGGGUAAUCCUUAGAUUAGGGACUUCGAUUUAAUGUAUAUUUUGAAGCAUUUCCUUUCUGGGUCUCGUUUUUUCAUAGCUUUUUUCUCUCUGUUACAACUUAUUGCAUGGUACUGAGACUAUGUACAUGAAUGAAUCACAUGAUGAUGCAGCGUAUUUACAAGUCGGGAGCAAGAUCAUUCUGGAUUCACAACACAGGACCCAUCGGCUGCCUCCCCUAUAUCUUGGCCAAUUUUCAGGCAGCUCAAAGGGACAGUGCCGGUUGUUCAAAGCCUCACAAUGAAGUGGCUCAGUACUUCAACUACAAGUUGAAGGAGGCUGUUUCCCAACUCCGGAAGGACUUUCCUUUAGCUGCAAUUACAUAUGUCGAUGUCUACUCUGUCAAGUAUUCCCUCUUUAGCCAACCCAAGAAAUAUGGUAAGCCAUAUGAUGAUAUAUAUAUAGGAAAAUAGUUGCUCGUGUCAUCUAACUUUACCUCAUUUAUGCACCAUGUUGUUAAGAAAUUAUGCUUUUCUCAUAAUCUGCAGGGUUUGAGCUUCCACUUGUGGCUUGCUGUGGCUAUGGAGGUGAGUACAACUACGGCAAUGAUGCUGGCUGUGGUAGUACCAUCACUGUUAAUGGUAGCCAAAUUUUUGUGGGAUCAUGUGAGCGCCCUUCACUUCGAGUGAAUUGGGAUGGAAUUCACUACACUGAGGCAGCUAACAAAUUUGUUUUUGAUCAAAUCUCCAGUGGAGCAUUUUCAGAUCCGCCUCUGCCCUUAAGAAUGGCAUGUCAUAGGAACACUUCAUAUUGAUUUUUGUCUACUUGGAAGGCAGACCAACAUGCACUUCUGUUGGUAUUAUCAUUAAUGUAUGCUCCUGGUUCUGGGUAAUAAGCAUCAUGCAUUGAUCAAAGGGUAGCCUAAAAUGUACCUUUCUUGUAUGUAAUAAGCAUCUAACUCAACAGAGUUAGUGUACUCAUGCUCUCUGAUAUAUUUGGCAAAGCCCAUGUCCUUUAUUGCAGAACCUGCACUUUAUUUGUUGACUACGCUGCACAAGGGAAAUAAUUUUGCAGAGAAAAUGACAGCAUUAAGAAUUAAACAAAAGAUAAGUAUAAAAGUAAUAACCACACACGUUAACAUCAUAAUAUCUAAACACACCCAUCAGGCCACACCAUUGGACAUCUAAACACACCCAUGAUGUCCGAAAUUUGAACCGAAUCAUUUUCACAUAUUCAGCAUCAAAAUUGCACAAUGACUUGAAUGUCAAACGAUAAAUUUCCUAGGAUGAGAAGUUGUUUUAAUAAAUUUCCUAUAAACGAUAGGAAGUCCAGCGUGGCUUGGCAUUAUUUUAAGACCAAAUAUGGCCACCUGGUGUGCUAAGAAGCAUUUGUAGUAGAAUUUCCAAAUCCGUCUGGUGGAGUUGAGUAUGUAAGUGCUGAAAUUAUUAAUGUGGUUGCAGUCAUCGUGAAAAGAAUUAAUGUCAUGACCCAAUAGACCUUUAUAAGAAGUUGGAUUUAGAGGUUUGUUCACAGUGGAUGUCAUGAGAUUUCUGGGCUUUCAUUUCCAUUCUUUCCUCACUAUUUCAUGACACUGAUGCUUCUCCCACCAUUCAUAUGGUUUUACUCGGACGUCUUAAUUAGUUUUUUCGAUCUCAGUUGAUGGGGGUUAUAAUGGGAGAAUUUAGAGAAGCAAAUUAAUGGCAUCUUUCCAUUACAGGAUUAUAUGAGGUUGUUGGCCAUGGUUCAAAGUCAUGGUAUCGGUCACCAACUCGGUAAGUCCCGAGGCACAUCGGUCUCGACAUCUUGGAUCGAUAUCGGGUGAUACGCAAAAAAUUAUAGUUUAAAAACUCAAAACAAUUUAAAAAGAUUACAAAAAUAAAUACAAAUAAAUAAAGUUAAAAAUUAAUAAAAUAAACUUUUAUUAUAUAUAAAAUUAUUCAAAUUAUGAUAAAAACAUACCUUCAUAAUGAUUUAUAAAAAUAUAAAAAAAUUAAUUUAAGCACUUAAUAUUAAAUAUGCAUCAUUAAAGAUGAAAAUAAUAAAAAGUGAAUUUGUUGUUUAUAAUUUUUUAAAAAUUAAAUAUUUUGAAUUUUUUAAAAAUAUUUUCAAUCUUAAAAAAAAUACAUCUAGGAAUCAUCUUUGAAAAAAAUAAACAUCAUUUUUCUUAUCAAAUGUAUUCUAAAUAAAACAAUUAUAAAAAUGGAGAAUUUUUAUUUGAAUGAGCAUAUUUGAAUAUAAUAUAUUUUUUCUAUACAUCUAUUCAUUUGAAUUGAAUUUUUAUAUUAAUAUUUAUUUUCUAUUUUAUUUAUGUAAACCUAAAUAUUCAUUAUUAAUUUGCCAUAAUCCUAAGCACAUCAAAUUUGCAUUAUCCAUUUAAAUACAAUUAUUCACCACAUAUUCAUUAACUACUUAUUUGUAAUCCUAUCAAAUACCCAUAAACCAUUCACCUCGCAAACACAUAUUUCCUUUUUUUUGCACAAUACCCAUUUCCCCUCUAAAACAACAGUUUGAGCUCUCUACUUCUUUGCACAAUACCUAUAUUUGAAGGUUGAAAAAAUAACCCCACAAAGAUACAAGAGGAUGGAGAUGCAAAUAUAAGGAUGAAGAUGCACAGGGUUUGAAGACUUGAAACUCUCCAUACUUCUUCACUUUCAUGGGUUUCGAUAAUCUCACUACAAGGAAAAAGGUAUAUGGUGACAUUUAUAACGAGUCACCAUAAACAUAAGGUGUCGCUACAACAUAGCGUCACCUUCUCCACUGACACCAUAGAGGGUACCAAUUGGUGACGUAUUUGAAAGUGACACCAAAGUAGAUAAAUGGUGACCCAUUCAGAAGUGACACCAUAUAUUUCUAGUGAUGAUAGGGUGUCACAUUAAAUACAUCAUCUUUAAGUUAUGAUGUCACAUUAAAUGCAUCACCUUUGAAUUAUGGUAUCACAUCAUUGUAAAUUAUUGUGGAAUAUAUGAUUGGUUUUAGUUGUUGAUUUUUGUAAUGCUUAUGAAUUAAUAAGAUUAACCUGUUUAUAUUUUGUCCAUAAAUAUAACAAUCAUAUUAUAUUUAACUCAUUUUUCUGUAAUGUUUCUGAAAUAACUCAUAAUACAUUGAUCAUCUAAUAAUAUUUGUAUAUCAAAUGGUCACAAAAGGAUAGUACGUNNNNNNNNNNNNNNNNNNNNNNNNNNNNNNNNNNNNNNNNNNNNNNNNNNNNNNNNNNNNNNNNNNNNNNNNNNNNNNNNNNNNNNNNNNNNNNNNNNNNAAAAGGUAUAUGGUGACAUUUAUAACGAGUCACCAUAAACAUAAGGUGUCGCUACAACAUAGCGUCACCUUCUCCACUGACACCAUAGAGGGUACCAAUUGGUGACGUAUUUGAAAGUGACACCAAAGUAGAUAAAUGGUGACCCAUUCAGAAGUGACACCAUAUAUUUCUAGUGAUGAUAGGGUGUCACAUUAAAUACAUCAUCUUUAAGUUAUGAUGUCACAUUAAAUGCAUCACCUUUGAAUUAUGGUAUCACAUCAUUGUAAAUUAUUGUGGAAUAUAUGAUUGGUUUUAGUUGUUGAUUUUUGUAAUGCUUAUGAAUUAAUAAGAUUAACCUGUUUAUAUUUUGUCCAUAAAUAUAACAAUCAUAUUAUAUUUAACUCAUUUUUCUGUAAUGUUUCUGAAAUAACUCAUAAUACAUUGAUCAUCUAAUAAUAUUUGUAUAUCAAAUGUUCACAAAAGGAUAGUACGUCCAACAUAUCAAACCCAUCAAAACUAAUAAAGAAGAGUGAAUACAUACCAAAACAUGAUUUAGAAAUGUUAAAGAUCCCAAGAUUCAUGUAUACCUCCAUUUCAUAAGCAUAAAACCGGCUAACCAUAAAAUGACAUAGAAGUCCCAUCUAAAAAUCUAAAUUUCUCAGUUGCAAUUAAAGUAACGUUUAUGUCCUACAACGUAUGAUAUAAGAGUUGCAUUUAAAACCCAAAAUCUUGUUGCCUUCUUCUUUCUUUUUAUUCUCCAUUUCACCCUCCCAAGAGUGUAUACCUGCAUUUCAAAAUUUAAUGAGUUUUAGAGAUUUUUAUUGAAGAAAAUAAACAUGGAUCUAUGUUAUCAUAAAUGAACAAAUCUAAGAAUUUUUUUUUUUUUUUCAAAUAGAAACAUUAUUCAAAGAAUAAGCAUUACUAUACAAUACCUAUGGAAAAAUUCAUGUAGUAGCUAAGGGACUCACCAUGAAUGGUGAUCAUGAUGCAUCAACAUGAUUCAUGAUUAGUUGUAGCACAAAAGUAGCCCAUUCUCCUCUAAUUUCAUCGAAUUCUACUUGAGAAUAUGGUUUUUUUAUUGCCAAACUGAAAUCAAAUAAGAAAAUAACAUUAAAAUGCAUAACAUUUGGAAGCCUAAAACUAUGUACAAUUCAUUAAAUAAGUAAUACCUUUGAAGCAAUAAUUGUAGGAUAAAAAAUUAUCUCUUUAAUGAAUCUCAUAACAAAGUAGCCACAUUCGAACCCUCCUUCUUGUCUUGGACACUAAUCGAUCAAUUAUAAAAUAACAUUAGUACUCACAUAUAUAAAUGGUGCAAAUGCAUAAGCUAAUGUGUAAAGAAAAAUUUUUGGAUGUCACCUGCACUAGUUGCUAAGAUGGCUCCCUCUUAGAUGUUUUCUUUGCAGAUAUUCGAAGAGCCCUAUGUAAAUAAGUUCAAUGGGUACAUUUUUAAAAUAGGUAAAUGUUAUAUGUUUUAAUAUAUAUAAAUAUAAAAAAAUGUGUUUGAGGUGAAUGUAUUUUUUUUUAUUUAAAAAUAAUACUAUGAAAAAUAAUAGGAAGAACUUACAUGUUUACGAUAUCCUUUAAGUCCUCACAUGGUUUGUGAUGCAUAGGGUCAAGAUAGUGGACUAUCAUUUUCCUUGGCUCAAGCACUGCCUAAAUAUAAACCCUUUAAGUCCUCAUAUCUAUUUCUAUUAACAAAAUAUAAAAACUUUCCAAAACUCAACUACUUAAAUAUAAAAACAAAAUCAAAUAAAAUAUCUAGCUAAUUGGAUUUUAGAAACUAAAUAAACUAUAAAUAAACUAAAUAUAAAAAGUAAAUAAAAUAUCUAUGCCCAUGAAUUAAUUGAAGAUGAUAGAAAGACACAGAGAGAACAUAGCUAUGGUUAUGAUUUCCAUCUUAUCAUCUCCCGUCAAUACCACACAUGCCCAUUUUAAGGUUGGACACUACUUUUGCUGCUGGACUUGGAAAGGGAACUUCAAAAUUGAAAACAUAAAUAAACCUUUAUGUAAAAAAAAAAAACAUUAAAAUAUAAUUGAGCAUUAAAAUAUUUACUCUCUUUCAUCACUUUCAUUUGAAUAUUAAUAAUCUCUUAUUGAGAUAGAUAUUUACAAUUUAACAAAAUAGAAAUUCCUAAUGAUAAAAAAUAUAAAAAUUUCUAUUUCUAUUAACAAAAUAUAAAAACUUUCCAAAACUCGAAUACUUAAAUAUAAAAACAAAAUCAAAUAAAAUAUUUAACUAAUUGGAUUUUAGAAACUAAAUAAACUAUAAAUAAACUAAAUAUAAAAACUAAAUAAAAUAUAUAUGCCCAUGAAUUAAUUGAAGAGGAUAGAAAGACACAGAGAGAACAUGGCUAUGGUUAUGAUUUCCAUCUUAUCAUCUCCCGUCAAUACCACACAUGCCUUCCCGGAUUGGUCCUUUUGGGGUUGGAUACUCUCAACGAAAUUCUAUAUCUCAUUCCCACUUAGAUACAAACAGAAAAAUCAUUCUCUUUUUUUAGAAAGGAUGAAGAUUAUGUGAUGGUAUAUCUUAAAAAAAUUUUGUACCUGUCAUUCUCACACAAAUACAUAUUAAAAAUCAUUCAUUUUUUUUCCUGUUUUUCACUUUUUUUUUAAGGACUUGAUCAUGUGUUUGGUUUAGAUUAAAAAAAUCAAUUAAUCUAUAGUUUUUUCUUCCAUGCUAGAAGAUUAAACCUAAAUUUUUCUUCCCUACAACUCAAGAAAACACAAUUCACAAAAACCAUAAUACAAAGAUGUUGAAACAAUUAAUAUAAUGACAUUAAUAAAAGAAAAAAAAAUGAUAGAUCCAAGAUAUUUUGGGUUACCUAGGAGUCCACAAAGUGAAGAAUGUCGGUUUUGAGCGUGUUGACUAUGGAUGGGUGAGAGAAAAGGUUGAAGAAGAUCAUGAUUUUAUAUAUAGGAUUUAUAUAUUGAGAUUUUUUGGAUUGUGGGUGAGAUAUGGAAACAAUGGGAUUUUUGUAUGGUACCCAUCAUUAUUAAUUCUAAAAGUGGGCUCAUUAAGUUAUAAUACUUAAAAAAAUUUAUUUUAUAUGAUGUCACUUCCCAAAAAAUGACACUAUAAAUAUAAAAUUAAUAUCAUCUAACUACCUCAAUUGAAGAUUUUUUAUAUGAUGUGUCACCUUUAUUAAUUAUAAACCCUAUGGUGUCAUUAUUUUAAAAGUGACACCGUAAAUAGUGACACCAUAAACUAUUUUUGUAGUAGUGUCUUCUCUCAUCCACCAUUUUCGCUUCAAUAUUACCUUUUUUUUCCAUCACCCAAAGAGCUUAGUUUGAAUAUAAUAUUAGGCUUAUCUCAAAGUUUCUUUGUGAUUUAAAAAGUUUAUUCAUGCGUCAACCAAAUAUUGGACUCAGGUAUCGAUCCAGUACGGGUCAUGAGCUCUUUAUUUAUUUGUACAACACCCAUUUUUGAAGGCUCACAACACAACCCUACAAAGAUACAAGAUGAUGAAGAUGCAAAUACAAGGAUGAAAUGCAAAGUGUUUGAAGACUCUGUACUAUUUAUAUUUCUUCACUUUCAUGGGUUUCGAUAUUCUUCUCUCAUCCACCAUUUUCGCUACAAUAUUACUAUUUUUUUCCAUUACCCAUCACUCUAAAAGCUUAGUUUGGACAUAAUCUUUAGGUUAUCUCAAAGUUUCUAUGCGAUUCAACAAGUUUAUUUCAUUAGAUAACCAAAUAUUAGACUCAGAUAUCAAUUGAUAUCGGUCAUGGCCAAGGCGGAUGUAACUCGGUCAAGUCGUACUAGUAUUGACUAAGAUUUUGAACCCCAUUUGAGCUCUCUAUUUCUUUGCACGUACAAUGCCCAUUUUUGAAGGCUCACAAAAUAGCCCUAUGAAGAUACAAGAGAAUGGGGAUGAAAAGGGUUUGAAGACUCUGAACUCUUCAUACUUUUUCACUUUCAUGGGUUUCGAUUUUUUUCUCUCAUCCACCAUUUGUACUCCAAUAUUACCAUUUUUUUCCAUCAUCUACCACCUGAAGAGCUUAGUUUGGAGAUAAUCUUGGGGUUAGCUCAAAGUUUCUUUGUGAUUUAACAAGUUUAUUCAUGAGUCAACCAAAUAUUGGACUUAGGUAUCGGUUCGACAUUGAUCAUGGCUGAGGCAGAUAUGACUCAGUCGAGUCAUACUAGUCUCAAUCAAGAUUAUGAACCCUGUUUGAGCUCUCUAUUUCUCUACACAAUACCCAUUUUUGAAGACUCACAAAAUAGCCUUAUGAAGAUACAAGAUAAUGGAGAUCCAAAUAUAGGUGUAGGUCCUUAGGCGCUACCAACUUUCCUAAAAGCAAUUGCUGUUAGGAAAGGCGCAUACCUUACCCUUAUAGUGCAUUCACCCAAGCGCCCAUGGCGAACACAAGGGGAGUUGAUGGAUGUGGCCAACCUUCCGAUCUGUCAACAAUCUUCCCCCCUAGCGACACCCCUGGGGUUUGAAUCCAUGAACUUAGCUCUGAUACCACUUGUAGGACCUCAGGUGCUACCAACUCUCCUAAAAGCAAUUGCUGUUAGAAAAGGCGCAUACCUUAACCUUAUAGUGCAUUCACCCAAGUGCCCAUGGCGAACACAAGGAGAGUUAAUGGACGCGGCCAACCCUCCGAUCUGUCAACAAUAAGGAUGAAAAUCCAAAGGGUUUGAAGACUCUGAACUUUCCAUAUUUCUACACUUUCAUGGGUUUCGAUCUUCUUCUCUCAUCCACCAUUUUCACUCCAAUAUUACCAUUUUUUUUCUAUCAACCAUCACCCAAAGAGCUUAGUUUGGACAUAAUCUUAAGGUUAUCUCAAAGUUUCUUUGUGAUUUAGCAAGUCUAUUCGCGAGUCAACCAGAUAUUAGACUUGAGUAUCGGUCUGGUACUGGUCAUGGCCGAGGCAAAUAUGACUCGGUUGAGUCAUACCAAUCUCGAUUGAGAUUUUGAACCUUGUUUGACCUCUCUAUUUCUUUAUACAAUACCCAUUUUUAAAGGCUCACAAAAUAACCCUAUGAAGAUACAAGAUGAUAAAGAUGCAAAUACAGGGAUGAAGAUGCAAAAGGUUUGAAGACUCUGAACUCUCCAUAUUUCUUUGCUUUCAUGGGUUUCAAUCUUCUUCUCUCAUCAACCAUUUUUGCUCCAAUGUCACCAUUUUUUUUCACCACCCAUCACCUGAAGAGCUUAGCUUGGACAUAAUCUUUAGGUUAUCUCAAAGUUUCUUUGUGAUUUAGCAAGUUUAUUCAUGAGUCAAUCAAAUAUUGGAUUUGGGUAUCAGUCUGAUACUGAUCAUGGUUGGGACAGAUAUGACUCGGCUGAGUCUUACCGGUUUCGACCAAGAUUUUGAACCCUGUUUGAGCUCUAUAUUUCUUUACACAAUACUAAUUUUUAUAAAAUAACCCUACGAAGAUACAAGAGGAUGGAGAUGCAAAUACAAGGAUGAAGAUGCAAAGGGUUUGAAGAGUUUGAACUCUCUAUACUUCUUCACUACCAUGGGUUUCGAUCUUUUUCUCUCAUCCACCAUUUUUCCUCCAAUAUUACCAUUUUUUUUCAUCACCCAUUACCCGAAGAGCUUAGUUUGGACAUAAUCUUAGGGUUAUCUCAAAGUUUCUUUGUGAUUUAACAAGUUUAUUCAUGAGUCAACUAAAUAUUGGACUUGGGUAUCGGUUCGAUAAUAGUCAUGGCCAAGAUUUUGAACCCCUUUUUAGCUCUCUGUUUCUCUGCACAAUACCCAUUUUUGAAGGCUCACAAAAUAACCCUACAAAGAUAUAACAUGAUAGAGAUGCAAAUACAGGGAUGAAGAUGCAAAGGGUUUGAAGACUCUGAACUCUCCAUACUUCUUCACUUUCAUAGGUUUCGAUCUUCUUCUCUCAUCUGUCAUUUCAGCUCCAAUAUUACAAUUUUUUUCCAUGACGCAUCACUCGAAGAACUUAUUUAGGACAUAAUCUUAGGGUUAUCUCAAUUUUUUUUAUUUUAUUUUUGUGAUUCAACAAGUUUAUUCAUGAGUUAACCAAAUAUUAGACUCGGGUAUUGGUCUAGUACUAGUCAUGGUCGAGGCGGAUAUUACUUGGCCGAGUCGUAUUGAUCUCGACCGAGAUUUUGAAUCCUAAUUGAGCUUUCUAUUUCUUUUCACAAUACCCAUUUUUGAAGGCUCACAAAAUAGCCCUACAAAGAUACAAUAUGAUGAAGAUGCAAAUAUAGGGAUGAAGAUGCAAAUAUAGGGACGAAGAUGCAAAGGGUUUGAAGACUUUGAGCCCUCCAUAUUUUUUCACUCUCAUGGGCUUUGAUCUUCUUCUCUCAUCCACCAUAUACGCUCCAAUAUUACCAUUUUUUCCAUCACCCAUCGACAUAAUCUUAGGGUUAUCUCAAAGUUUCUUUUUUAUUCAACAAGUUUAUUCAUGAGUCAACCAAAUAUUGGACUCGGGUAUCAGUUCGGUAUCGAUCAUGGCCGAGGUAGAUAUGACUUGGCCGAGUCGUACCAGUCUUAACCGAGAUUUUGAACCUUGAUUGAGUCGUACCAGUCGUACCAGUCUUAACCGAGAUUUUAUUUGCACAAUACCCAUUUUUUAAGGCUAACAGAAUAACCCUACGAAGAUACAAGAGGAUUGAGAUGCAAAUAUAGGAAUGAAAAUGAAAAGGGUUUGAAGACUCUAAACUCUUUAUACUUUUUCACUUUCAUGGGUUUCAAUCUUCUUCUCUCAUCCACCAUUUUUGCUCCAAUAUUACCAAUUUUUGCCAUCACCCAUCACCCAUCAUCCAUCACCCAAAAAGCUUAGUUUGGACAUAAUCUUAGAGUUAUCUCAAAGUUUCUUUUUUAUUCAACAAGUUUAUUCAUGAGUUAAUCAAAUAUUAGACUCGGGUAUUGAUCCGAUACCGAUCAUGGCUGAAGCAGAUAUGACUCAAUCAAGUCGUAUGAGUCUCAACCGAGAUUAUGAACCCUAUUUGAGCUCUUUAGUACUCUACACAAUACCCAUUUUUGAAGUCUCACUAAAUAGUCCUACGUAGAUGCAAGAUGAUGGAGAUGCAAAUAAAUGGAUGAAAAUCCAAAGGGUUUGAAGACUCUGAACUUUUUAUAUUUUUUCACUUUCAUGGGUUUUGAUAUUUUUCUCUCAUCCACCAUUUCCACUUCGAUAUUACCAUUUUUUUCCAUCACCCUAAGAGCUUAGUUUGGACAUAAUAUUAGGGUUAUCUCAAUUUUUCUUUGUGAUUCAACAAGGUUAUUCAUAACUCAACCAAUUAUUGAACUCGGGUAUCGGUCCGAUAUCGGUCAUAGCAGAGGCCGUUAUAACUCGGUCGAGUCAUACUGAUCUUGACUGAGAUUUUGAACCCUAUUUGAGCUUUCUAUUUCUCUGCACAAUACCCAUUUUUGAAGGCUCACAAAAUAGCCCUGAGAAGAUCCAAUAUGAUGAGAUGCAAAUCUUACUCCUUGAAUUUCUGGCAAUAAUUGGUUUAUUUUUUUAAUUCUGAAAUAUUUUUUAAAAUUAAAUAUUUGUUAAUGAAACAAAAACACUAACUCUUUCUUGAUUUGGAGUUUAUUUGUUGAAUGAAAAAAUUUGGAUAAUUAUGAUUCUGUGCAUAAGAGAAAUAAUGAAUCAAUCGUUGUUCAUAAAUUCAUAAAAUUGGAUUAGUAUUUGAGUUUCAAAUUAUUUUUAAAAGUGACUACAUUCAUUAAUGAAUCUAAUACACUAGGUUCCUCUUUAGGAUGAAUUUUGAACGAGGUUAAAAGCAUUUCCUAAUACUAGAAAGCAAUCUUCAAAAAAAUUGUUGAAAAUCACUUUUAAAAAUCUAAAUAAUGAUGUGAUUCUUCCAACAAUCACAUUUUUGUUAUAUUAUACAUUACCAAAACAUUCUCGGAACUUUUUUUUUUUUUUUAAAUUUAUAAUGUGCAUUUACUACAAAACAAUCUUUUUAAACAAAUAAAAAUACCAUUGAUAAUUAGGUUACGCUAGAUAAUGAUUUUAGGAAGUGUUUUUAAUCUUUCUAAUACUUGAAAAAUAACAACAGUGGUUUUAGGAAACGUUUCUAGCUUUUUUGGUGGACAAUUGCAAAUUAAAAAAUAAAUAUGUAAAUGGUACCAAUUUUUCUAAAAGCUUUAUUGCAGACUGCUUUAUUGCAGUAAUAUGCCCAAAGUCCACACCAGAAGAGUUACAACCAGACCCUCUUAUUAUACCAUGUUUGUUACAAUGAGGGAAUUGAACAUCAUGAAUCGUCAUUCAAGCAAGGAAAUCAAAGGUUGACAGCUUAUUCUGUUUCUAUAUUUCCCCACUAGAAUCGUGCUUGAAGGUAUUCAACCACCCUCUUGUCCAACUGGAAGGCCCUUGCCAGGAAAUCAGGAUUGAUGGGUGGAUUUGAUCCAAACAUUGAACUGGCUAUGGUGACUAUACCUGGAUUUUGGCUGUUAAAAGCGGCAAUGGCUACUGCAUUAGUGUGCCCAAUGUUGACUUGGAAGUGAAUGAGACUGAAAGGGAACACAAAAACAUCCCCCUUGUUCAGGACUUUGCUAACGAAGCGGUGUUCAGGGUUGGAUGUGAUAAAGCCAACAAAGAGUGUUCCCUCCAAGACAACGAGGAUCUCACUGGCACGAGGGUGAAAGUGAGGAGGGUUUUGACCAUUAGGUUCAUAAUCGAUACGAGCCACUGACACCCCAAGAGCGUUUUCUCCUGGUAAUUGAUCAACAUUUAUAAGAUUGACAAUUGAGCCCACAUAAUUUGAUGUGUUUCCUGGAAUAUUCAGCCCUUGAUACAAGAAAUCCUCGGCCACGGUCAGGUUUGGGUUCUUGCAGAACUUCCCAUUUACAAAUACUGCAUGAAGAAGGAAAAAAGAAAAGAUAUAUCAUUAGUAUCGAACCAUACUCACCAUAUCAAUAAAAAGAGAAGUACUGAAAAUAGCUAUAAGAUCAUUGGUUACUAUAGAAAUACCAGCAUUCUUGGGCUCAUCAACGGCAACACAGGUGUCUUCCAGUGGGCUUGGAUCAUAGGCAGAGGCAAGAAAGGAAGCCAAUGCCAUGAAGGCCACGGUUACCAGGAAACUAACGCUUUUCUUCAUUGUUAGAGUACUGUCUCCAACAAUCACAAUAUUUAUCUUUAGGCGGGGAUAAGAAAUUUAGCAUGGAAAAGAUGUUAAUUUAUAGACCAGAGUCGGUGAGUUAGUCUUUGCAUAAACUCACCAAGUCUUCAAUGGGAAGUUUUUUCUUCUUUCUUUUUUCACUUUCGAGGACAAGCGGUUGCACCAAUACAUGUUGAUUUACGUAGGAUUAGUCAGUAUACAGAUCUUAACCAGAAUAUAAAGCAAUGUACAAUCAGGUGGAGGCAGGUCCAAUUUAAUAUCAAUCUGUAUGAUCCAUACGUUUACAUAUAUAGUAGAGCUUUCUGCUCUUUUAGUAGUGUAUGGACAAGCAAAUAGAAGAUUACAGAGUAGGUGCCAGCUUGGACUAUACAAUGACCCACCCCUAUCAAACAUGGUUACUCCAUGAGACUUGUGUAGGUUCAGUUUAAUGAGUAUUUAUAUAGCUUAAUUCACCAUUCGAAGUGUUGAGAGAUUGGCUGAUGAGAUUGAAUAUGUAGCCAAGUUCUGAGUUUCUAGCUCAUGUGCCUUCCACUGAGUGAAAAGUCCUUGGAUAAGCUCUGGGGUUGCCUCAGUUCAAUGAAAAAUUGGGAUAAAUUCAAAGACUUUCUGCUAUAUGCUCACUAGGCUUUCCUCAGUUACAAAAGCUUUGACUAUGAUUUUUAUGCUUGCAGCCUUCCCUGUCUGAGCGGUUGGCUCAAAAGUUACUACUACAAUUAUUAUGGUUUGUGAGAGAAAGAGAUCUUAACAAACACCUUUAAACUAAGACUUUUUAAUUAGUCGUCUUUAACAAGCAAGUCUGUAUUUUCUGGUGAGAAGCAAGAAACCUUACAUUAGCAAAAUACCAAUUAAUUAGAUGAAGUCCUUCGGCUAAUCUAUGCCCUAUAAGUAAGGUAAUUAAGCAGAUCGAUACACUUUCCAAAUCUUCAAUGGAUGUCAUUUUUCAAAUUGAAAGGUUGAACCAUUCUGAGAAUUUUCAAAUUGGACAGGCCAUCUGUAAUCAGAUUGUGAUUAGUGUCAUGACCCAUUAGAUCUUUAUAAGAAGUUGGGGUUAGAGGUUUGUUCACAGUGGAUGUCAUGAGAUUUCUGGGCUUUCAUUUCCAUUCUUUCCUCACUAUUUCAUGACACUGAUGCUUCUCCCACCAUUCAUAUGGUUUGACUCGGACAUCUUAAUUAGUUUUUUCGAUCUCAGUUGAUGGGGGCCGGUUAUACUGGGAUAAUCUAGAGAAGCAAAUUAAUGGCAUCUUUCCAUUAUUGGAUUAUAUGAGGUUGUUGGCCAUGGUUCAAAGUCAUGGUAUCGGACACCAACUCGGUAAGUCUUGAGGCACAUGGGUCUCAACGUCGCAGAUCAAUAUCGGGUGAUACACAAAAAAUUAUAGUUUAAAAGCCCAAAACAAUUUAAAAAGAUUACAAAAAUAAAUACAAAUAAAUGAAGUUAAAAAUUAAUAAAAUAAACUUUUAUUAUAUAUAAAAUUAUUCAAAUUAUGAUAAAAACAUACCUUCGUAAUGAUUUAUAAAAAUAUAAAAAAAUUAAUUUAAUCACUUAAUAUUAAAUAUGCAUUAUUAAAGAUGAAAAUAAUAAAAAGUGAAUUUAUUGUUUAUAAUUUUUUUUAAAUUAAAUAUUUUAAAUUUUUAAAAAAUAUUUUCAAUAUUUUAAAAAAUACAUCUAGGAAUCAUCUUUGAAAAAAGUAAACAUCAUUUUUCUUAUCAAAUAUAUACUAAAUGAAACAAUUAUAAAAAUGGAGAAUUUUUAUUUGAAUGAGCAUAUUUGAAUAUAAUAUAUUUUUUCUAUACAUCUAUUCAUUUUAAUUGACUUUUUAUAUUAAUAUUUAUUUUCUAUUUUAUUUAUGUAAACCUAAAUAUUCAUUAUUAAUUUACCAUUAUCCUAAACCCAUCAAAUUUUCAUUAUCCAUUUAAAUACAAUUAUUCACCACAUAUUCAUUAACUACUUAUUUGUAAUCCUAUCAAAUACCCAUAAACCAUUCACCUCGCAAACACGUAUUUCCUUUUUUUGCACAAUACCCAUUUCCCCUCUAAAACAACACUUUGAGCUCUCUACUUCUUUGCACAAUACCUAUAUUUGAAGGCUAAAAAAAUAACCCCAUGAAGAUACAAGAGGAUGGAGAUGCAAAUAGAAGGAUGAAGAUGCACAAGGUUUGAAGACUCUAAACUCUCCAUACUUCUUCACUUUCAUGAGUUUUGAUUAUCUUCUCUUAUCCACCAUUUCUGCUCCAAUAUUACUAUUUUUUUUCCAUCACCCAUCACCCAUCACCCAAAGAGAUUAGUUUGAAUAUAAUAUUAGGGUUAUCUCAAAGUUUCUUUGUGAUUUAACAAGUUUAUUCAUGAGUCAACCAAAUAUUGGACUCAGGAAUCAGUCCAAUACGGUUCAUGAGCUCUUUAUUUAUUUGUACAAUACCCAUUUUUGAAGGCUCACAACACAACCCUACAAAGAUACAAGAUGAUGAAGAUGCAAAUACAAGGAUGAAAUGCAAAGGGUUUGAAGACUCUGAACUAUUUAUAUUUUUUCACUUUCAUGGGUUUCGAUCUUCUUCUCUCAUCCACCAUUUUCGCUACAAUAUUACUAUUUUUUUCCAUUACCCAUCACUCGAAAAGCUUAGUUUGGACACAAUCUUUAGGUUAUCUCAAAGUUUCCAUGCGAUUCAACAAGUUUAUUUCAUUAGAUAACCAAAUAUUGGACUCAGAUAUCAAUUCGAUACCGGUCAUGGCCAAGACGGAUGUAACUCAGUCGAGUCAAACUAGUCUUGACUAAGAUUUUGAACCCCAUUUGAGCUCUCUAUUUCUUUGCAUGUACAAUGCCCAUUUUUGAAGGCUCACAAAAUAGCCCUAUGAAGAUACAAGAGAAUGGGGAUGAAAAGGGUUUGAAGACUCUGAACUCUUCAUACUUCUUCGCUUUCAUGGGUUUCGAUCUUUUUCUCUCAUCUACCAUUUCUACUCCAAUAUUACCAUUUUUUUUCCAUCAUCUACCACCUGAAGAGCUUAGUUUGGAGAUAAUCUUGGGGUUAGCUCAAAGUUUCUUUGUGAUUUAACAAGUUUAUUCAUGAGUCAACCAAAUGUUGGACUUAGGUAUUGGUUCGACACCAAUCAUGGCUAAGGCGGAUAUGACUGAGUUGAGUCGUACAAGUCUCGAUCAAGAUUAUGAGCCCUGUUUGAGCUCUCUAUUUCUCUACACAAUACCCAUUUUUGAAGACUCACAAAAUAGCCUUAUGAAGAUACAAGAUAAUGGAAAUGCAAAUAUAGGUGUAGGACCUCAGGCGCUACCAACUCUCCUAAAAGCAAUUGCUGUUAGGAAAGACGCAUACCCUAACCUUAUAGUGCAUUCACCCAAGCGCCCAUGGAGAACACAAGGGGAGUUUAUGGAUACGACCAACCUUCCGAUCUAUCAGCAAUCUCCCAUACCACUUGUAGGACCUCAGACGCUACUAACUCUCCUAAAAGCAAUUGCUGUUAGGAAAGACGCAUACCCUAACCUUAUAGUGCAUUCACCUAAGUUCCCACGACAAACAUAAGAAGAGUUGAUGGACGCGGCCAACCCUCUGAUCUGCCAACAAUAGGGAUGAAAAUCCAAAGGGUUUGAAGACUCUGAACUUUCCAUAUUUCUACACUUUCAUGGGUUUCGAUCUUCUUCUCUCAUCCACCAUUUUCACUCCAAUAUUACCAUUUUUUUUUCUAUCAACCAUCACCCAAAGAGCUUAGUUUGGACAUAUUCUUAAGGUUAUCUCAAAGUUUCUUUGUGAUUUAGCAAGUCUAUUCAUGAGUCAACUAAAUAUUAGACUUGAGUAUCGAUCUAGUACUGGUCAUGGCCAAGGCAAAUAUGACUCGGUCGUGUCAUACCAAUCUAGAUCAAGAUUUUGAACCUUAUUUGAGCUCUCUAUUUCUUUGUACAAUACCCAUUUUUAAAGGCUCACAAAAUAACCCUAUGAAGAUACAAGAGGAUAAAGAUGCAAAUAUAGGGAUGAAGAUGCAAAAGGUUUGAAGACUCUGAACUCUCCAUAUUUCUUUGCUUUCAUGAGUUUAACUCUUCUUCUCUCAUCAACCAUUUUUGCUCCAAUGUUACCAUUUUUUUCACCAACCAUCACCCGAAGAGCUUAGCUUGGACAUAAUCUUUAGGUUAUCUCAAAGUUUCUUUGUGAUUUAGCAAGUUUGUUCAUGAGUCAACCAAAUAUUGGAUUUAGGUAUCAGUCUGAUACCGAUCAUGGUUGAGGUAGAUAUGACUCGGCUGAGUCUUACCGAUUUCGACCAAGAUUUUGAACCCUGUUUGAGCUCUGUAUUUCUUUGCACAAUACUAAUUUUUGAAGGCUUAUAAAAUAACCUUACGAAGAUACAAGAUGAUGGAAAUACAAAUACAAGGAUGAAGAUGCAAAGGGUUUGAAGAGUUUGAACUCUCCAUACUUCUUGAUUCGUUCCCAAUUGGUGUCUCAGCUGAUUCAUGUCCAGCUGGUGCUCUUUGAUUGAGAGAGUAAUCAACAAAAUUUAUAACCUAUAUCACUAUGCAUUAGGAUAGCUUUAGCUAAUAUAGCAUAGUGGCUCUAGGAUCGUUCACUGGGAAGGGUUUUCAACUCACAACUGAUACCAAUUCAAAGUUAAAUUGGUACUUUUUCAUUUCAAGGUUAGCUUAAGAAAAAAACACAAACUUUGUUUAAAUGAGGUUUUGUUUAAAGGUAACUAAAAAGAAAGUAAUGGAAAUUACUUAUGAAGAAAAACAUUCCUUGGAGGUUUAGGUUCACAGGGGAGGUUUCUUAUGCAAAAACAGAGCUCCGGUCAUUUGGUUCAUUUCCUCGCAUUAGAGAAUUAACAUAUAGUCAAUUCUCUAACCGGUGCUGCACAGAUGUAUCCUUUAAAUGGAUUUCAACUCUAAUUCCCUCUCACUGAUGCAACUUGCAAUGGCUCGUGCCUCUCACCUAGCAUUUUCCAUUCAAUGUGAUCUUUAACUUUGGACUUCUCUUCUCAAGCUCGCAAGAGAUAACUAACGGAUGUCUCCUUGGAGUCCAAAAGCUUACCAAGUGUUGGCAAUUCUAGAAAAUCCUACCUCCAAGUCACUUCCCAAAAGCCCGCAAGAGAUAAACAAGUGCAUCUCCAUGGACGGAGAUCACGUGCCUUACCAAGUGUUGGCUUAAGUGAAUUGAAGGUAUUUUAAGUUAACUAAAAACAUAUAAAUCAUUAAAGGAUCACACUUUCUCUUCAUUAAUGACUGAAACCACAAAGCUACUAAUUCUUGCACUUGGAACCUUUCCCGGCAACCUUAACUCCAAGGAACUAAAAGUCUAGCCACUCAUUCUAUGAGGAAACUUCCUCAGAGCUUGUUUGGCUAGUAAGAAAACUAACGAGAAAACAAUUAUAUGAAGGAAAAACAGAGCAAGUGCUCUAUAAAAUAUAUUUCUUUUUUCUGCCGAUUACAUAAUAUAUCUUUGUAAAGAAAAUUACAAACUAUAUAUAUGAGGUUAUUCACCCUUUGUACUUACUUAAAGACUAAGGAAUCCUAUGAUAGGUGGGUUACAAGGAGACUUUGGGAGGUGGGUUACAAGGAGACUUUGGGGAUUUAGACAACAAAUAUUUAAAGCAAAAUAUCUCAGGAUGUCGGUCGGAAAUAUCAAGAAGCUUCAGGAGAACACCGUGGCACUGUAUACUGAGAGAAAAACUCUCCUGGUAAGCGCUAUCAGAGGAUCCGGAUAAGUUUGACCGGAGAAGUUGAAACGUCCUCCUCUCCCAUCCGGCUGCGAGAUAUCCAGAUGUAAAAUGUCGGCGCACAGAAUUCCGGAUGUGAAAUGUCGACGCACGGAAUUCCUCCCCUGGUGGACUAAGCUAUGUUGCGCAAGGGGGACCGUCUGCGUGUGCAAGGUGUAGGGACCCCUCUCCCGGAUGACACGGAAUGCGCAAGGCUAUCCGGAUCAACUCCAUCCGGAUUCCCCAAGAGGACAUGUGGCGUGCUCCCCUAUUCAGACUCCCUCAGGUUGAAGCACACAGCACUCGUGAUCAUCACACCCGGACGAUAGCAUAUCCUAUCCGGAUAUGUUGUCCGGAUCAUUGACUUCCGCCGUCAUCCGAUGGUGUGUCCGGACAUCUUUUACUCCUUGCAUUCCAGAUUUGCUUAUGGAAAAGAACCUCAAAGCUUUGGUUCUUCAUAUUUCUGAGCUUUCCAUUGCUUUGCCAUGGAUUCCAAAGAACUCUCCUCAAUCACGGAUUGCUUUGGUGAUAAAAAAGCUAUCAAAACACCAAAACUUAACACAAUUUGAUUAGAAUUGAUUGCAAGGGUCCUUAAUAUGUUAAUUGGGUUAAAAUGUGAUAACUACUACUCAAAAGUGUUUAAAAGAGUUUAUUACAAGCUAUCAAAUAGCACUUUUUGAGUAGUAAUCACUUCUUCACUACCAUGGGUUUCGAUCUUCUUCUCUCAUCCACCAUUUUCCCUCCAAUAUUACCAUUUUUUUUCCAUCACCCAUUACCCGAAGAGCUUAGUUUGGACAUAAUCUUAGGGUUAUCUCAAAGUUUCUUUGUGAUUUAACAAGUUUAUUCAUGAGUCAACUAAAUAUUGGACUUGGGUAUCGGUUCGAUAAUAGUCAUGGCCUAAGAUUUUGAACCCUUUUUUAGCUCUCUAUUUCUCUGCGCAAUACCCAUUUUUGAAGGCUCACAAAAUAACCCUACAAAGAUAUAAGAUGAUAGAGAUGCAAAUACAGGGAUGAAGAUGCAAAGCGUUUGAAGACUCUGAACUCUCCAUACUUCUUCACUUUCAUAGGUUUCGAUUUUCUUCUCUCAUCCGUCAUUUUAGCUCCAAUAUUACCAUUUUUUUGCAUGACCUAUCACUCGAAGAGCUUAUUUUGGACAUAAUCUUAGGGUUAUCUCAAUUUUUUAUUUUAUUUUUGUGAUUCAACUAGUUUAUUCAUGAGUUAACCAAAUAUUAAACUCGGGUAUUGGUCUAGUACCGGUCAUGGUUGAGGCGGAUAUUACUCGGCCGAGUCGUUUUGAUCUCAACUGAGAUUUUGAACCCCAUUUAAGUUCUUUAAUUCUUUUCACAAUACCCAUUUUUGAAGGCUCACAAAAUAACCCUACGAAGAUACAAUAUGAUGAAGAUGCAAAUAUAGGGACGGAGAUGCAAAUGGUUUAAAGACUUUGAGCCCUCCAUAUUUUUUCACUCUCAUGGGCUUCGAUUUUCUUCUCUCAUCCACCAUAUACGCUCCAAUAUUACCAUUUUUUCCAUUACGCAUCACCCGAAAAGCUUAGUUUGGACAUAAUCUUAGGGUUAUCUCCAAGUUUCUUUUUUAUUCAACAGGUUUAUUCAUGAGUCAACCAAAUAUUGGACUUGGGUAUUAGUUCGGUAUUGGUCAUGGCCGAGGUGGAUAUGACUUGGCCGAGUCGUACCGGUCUUAAUUGAGAUUUUGAACCCUAACUGAACUCUCCAUUUAUUUGCACAAUACCCAUUUUUUUAAGGCUAACAGAAUAAGCCUACGAAGAUACAAGAGGAUUGAGAUGCAAAUAUAGGAAUGAAGAUGAAAAGGGUUUGAAGACUCUUAACUCUUUAUACUUUUUCACUUUCAUGGGUUUCAAUCUUCUUCUCUCAUCCACCAUUUUUGCUCCAAUAUUACCAUUUUUUUCCAUUACCCAUCACCCAAAAAGCUUAGUUUGGACAUAAUCUUAGAGUUAUCUCAAAGUUUCUUUUUUAUUGAACAAGUUUAUUCAUGAGUUAACCAAAUAUUGGACUCGGGUAUCGAUCCAAUACCGAUCAUGGCUGAAGCGGAUAUGACUCGAUCAAGUCGUACGAGUCUCAAUCGAGAUUAUGAACCCUAUGUGAGCUCUUUAGUACUCUACACAAUACCCAUUUUUGAAGUCUCACAAAAUAGUCCUACAAAGAUGCAAGAGGAUAGAGAUGCAAAUAAAUGGAUGGAAAUCCAAAGGGUUUGAAGACUCUGAACUCUCCAUAUUUCUUCACUUUCAUGGGUUUCGAUAUUUUUCUCUUAUCCACCAUUUCCACUUCGAUAUUACUAUUUUUUUCCAUCACCCAUCACCCUAAGAGCUUAGUUUGGACAUAAUAUUAGGGUUAUCUCAAAUUUUCUUUGUGAUUCAACAAGUUUAUUCAUAACUCAACCAAAUAUUGAACUCGAGUAUCGGUCCGAUAUCGGUCAUGGUGGAGGUAGAUAUGAGAACAACCAAAUAUUCAAUUUUUUUUUAAAUUUAUAAUGUGCAUUUACUACAAAGCAAUCUUUAAAAUAAAAUAAAACUACCAUUGAUAAUUAGGUUACACUUGACAGCAAUUUUAGGAAGUGUUUUUAAUCUUUCUAAUACUUGAAAAAUAACAAUAGUGGUUUUAAGAAACGUUUCUAACUUUUUUAAUGGACAAUUGCAAAUUAGGAAAUAAAUAUGUAAAUGGGUACCAAUUUUUCUAAAAGCUUUUAAACUUUUUUCUAUUUUGGGUUAUAAUGUGUAUCAUGUUAUUAACAAUAUUUUUGCUUUUAUUUCAUGUCAAAUAAUAUAAUUUUUAACUUUAGAAGAGUCACAAACAAUAUUUGUGUUUACCCUAAAAUGCUUUUUCCUCGUAUGCAUUUCAGGGUGUAGGGAUUCUCAUGGAAAAUACUUCCCAUGGCUGGCAUGGGAGUUGAAGAAUUGUUGCAUGUGCAGCCAAAGGUAAAAGAGGGAUUCAUGUGUUACCUGAAUUGCAUUUUAUCUGAUUUACAAUUUGAUUAUAUGUAUGUUUGUGCAGUCUGGUGCUUGUGUUGCUCAUUUCUAUAUGUGCUAAAUGGAGGAUUUCUUUUUCAUCCAAAACCCUAGUAUUGCAGGAGAUAGUUGCUUUAUGGGUCAGUCUUCUUACCAAAUCUUAACUCUAUGCUGACUUCUUUUUCUUUGAUUUCCUACUCUUUGUUCUGCAUAUGUGUUUUCAACCUAACUAUUUUCAUAGGGAUCAAUGGAAAUUAUGAUUUUUCAAAGAAUAUUGAAAGUAGAAGAAAAUUAAGCAUUUGUGAAAUAUGGAGGAGCAAAAUGAUUUCUUAGUUUUAGCACAUCAGUUUACAGAAGAUAUUGUAAUUUCACAUGAUGAAAAUGAAGAGGGGAACCCAGAUUUCCAAUGGAGGGACUUUUUGGGCUUGGGGGACUAGAAAUGCAAGAUAUAAGUGCAAAUAUUGGAGUUACCCAACCAUAAAUCUGUCCGAAAAACUCGCUUUAAGGGGAGGAUGUUCCUCAUACACAAGAUGGAUUUAGCAUGGGGAUAAUUAGAUCCUAGAUGUUUGUAAGACUCAAUUCUAUCCAGUUUGCGUCCUUUUGGGGCUCCAUCAUGUGGGUUCUUUCCCCUUUUCGGUCAUCUUAAACUGGCUCUGAUGGUUGUUCGAUUGGUAACUCCGAAAGAUCAGAAUAGCUGUAUCUGCUAAGAUAAUGGAUGAAAUGAUAUGCUAACUUGGCAACUCGAAAAUAAUGGCCCGUGUCUUCCUCCUAUUAGGGUAUAUUGAAUUCUAAUUCAAGAAAAUUUUGCAGUAUUCAGGGUGGAAGCAGAUCACUUAAUCUUUUGUAGUAGGGAUUUAAGAGGUUUAGGCAGAUGCUUGAAGGUUUAUUCAUACUUAUUGUGAAGCAGAUCAUCUGGAAAACUGGGGAGUUAUCAUGCUGAAGACAUUUUUCUCCUUAUUGAAGUUUUCCAAACAAACCCUUCCAUCUAGGGUGAAUUAUUGGUUUCAUUUGGCUGAGUAGGAGAUUUCAGAUAGAAGCCAUCAAUCCUGGUCCUCAAGGGUGGAGUGGUAUGAUUACCAUCUAUGUAAAGACUUUGAAAUUUUUUUGUCAUUAACAAGCAUUUGUUGAUAAAUUUGCUUACCAUCUUCCACAAAUGAAAUUAUGGUUUUGAGUGUAUAAUUAUAACUGCUUAUGAUGAAAGGGAAAAACACCGACAAAGGACUCACUGGUUUUUUCUGCACAAAUGGGAGCAAUCUGUUAUUCUGGUUUCUUAUUACACACAAGCAAAACGAUCAUUUAUAGUUGUAAAUAGAGAGCUCUUCUUCUUACCUAGACUGAAAGUGACGGAGGUUUACUAUUUUAAGUUCAGUGACAUGUCCACAUUUUCUUCCUUUGCCUUACGAAGUGUUUCAAAUCCCAUUUCUUUCCAGACAUUCUUUAGCCUUUGAGCAACCGAAGAGAUAAGGGGACGCUUUUGGGGGUUCUCUUCUGUGCACAUCAUCCCUGCAUCGAGCAUGUGGAUACAGCAUUGCUCAAGCUUAUGUAAAGCACCACUCCCCUCUUCCAAAUAUGCUUCGUGCUUCAGUGAGAUGUCUACAAUAUCCAAAACUUGAUUUGGAAAAGCAGAACACACCCAUUUCCUUAGAUCAAGUCCAUCUGAAAACAUUUCAUUCGUUGGUCUCUUCCGUGUUAUCAUCUCUAACAUCAUCACUCCAAAACUGUAUACAUCUCCUCUUGUUGAGACAUCGAUCCCCUGCCCAUAUUCUGUGUACAAGCAAUAGGAACUAUUAGCUGAAUCACUGUACUUUUAUUUAUAUCCCUUCAAAUUAGGAUAGUCUGUUUAAAGAAAGAGACAUGGAUAGAUGCAGUUGGUUCAUAUUAACUAUCUGAAUAUCACAAGAAUGCAAGCAUCCUUCUUUUUCAUUUAGAUGUAAAUGCUUCUCAUUGGAAAAGCGAUUAGGAAACUAUCUGAAUAUCACUGUACUUAAAGAAAAGCGGGAGAAUAACCAACAAGACAUACCAUGUUGUUAAACAAAUUUAUCAUAAUGGUAUAUGAGGAAACACACAAAACCCUAUUUUUUCUUCUCGACUUCUAUCCUAUUAUUAACAGUUAGUUCUCUAGAAUAUAUGACCAUUGGGUAGGCAGUCAAAUGAAUGAAAACUAGACUAGUUUGAAGUUCAUGUGAGAUGAAAGAUUGGCAUUCAUGAUUAAAAGUAAUUAUCUAGUCUGAUAACUUAUCAUUUACUUCUCAGAUUUGAAGGUAGGUCGCUAACUUUUCCAAGAAGAUUCAAAGGGAUUAUGAAGCAUAGGAUUGAAGAUUUAUAUAAGGUAAUCAAAUGCAUACCUGGGGGGAUAUACCCGACAGAUCCUCGUAGAAAAGCAGUUGUGGUAGUAACAUGUCCUCUUGGUUUGUCACCUGAAAUGAGCUUUCCAAUACCAGAAUCUCCUACAUGAGCCACCAUAUCAUUGUCCAAAAGAACAUUUUGUGGUUUCAGGUCACAGUGUACAACUUGAACAGGACAACCCUCAUGAAGAUACUCCAAGCCAUUUGCAACAUCUAUUGCUAUUCCCAUUCUUUCCCUCAAUUUUAAUUCACUACCUCCUUCAUCUGACCCACCAGGGUAAAGAUGCUGUUCCAAGUUCCCAUUGCCUAUAUACUCGAGAACAAUAGCCUUGAAUCCUGAAUUCCAGGUCGAUCCUAUCAUUCUAACCAGAUUCCUAUGUCUAAUUUCAGACAGUAUUUGACACUCCCUUUUAAAACUUCUGUAACCCUGAACACGCUCUUCUUGCAGAACCUUAACUGCCACAACAGUUUUUCCAUCAUUGAUGAUAGCUUUAUACACCCUACCAAAACUUCCUUCCCCUAAUAGAUUAGCCUCAUCAAAACCGCCAGUAGCAAUUUCGAUUUCCCUUUCAGUUAAAGUUUGGGUUCCAUGAUGGGUUGGGGAAUACAUUAGAAUUGCAGUCUCCGCACCUGCACUCCUAUUUUUGAAGAAGAAACGACGAACAGUGAGGGCGAUCAGCACAAAGAGAAGCAGAGAACAAGUUAAUAUUGCAAACAGGUAAUAAAUCCAUUUCCUUUUCUUGUGCUUUUGUUUCAGAAUUUCACAUGGAUGGAGACCCAUAAGUUUGGUGCCACCACAGAGCCCCAUAUUCCCCAUGAAUGAGCUGCUUCCUAGAUUUUUAUACCUCCCACUAUUUGGAACCUCUCCUGUUAAUCUGUUAUACGAUAAAUUGAGAUUCUUGAUCUUCUGGCUGUCACCAAUCCAGAUUGGAACAUUUCCUGUUAAAUUAUUGAAAGCCAAGUCCAGAUAUCCUAGAUCAAUGAUUUGCUUCAGGGACUCUGGGAUUGUACCUUCAAGCAUGUUGUGAGAGAGGUUCAGAUACUCCAUUGAAAUGCAUCUUCCAAUCGAACUUGGUAUCACUCCGAAGAAUUUAUUCGCUGACAAGUCAAUUGCCAGCACAGAUGCCAGAUUUCCAAUACUAGCAGGUAGUUCUCCUUCAAGAUUGUUGUUCGAAAGGUUGAGUGAAAGAGCCAGGUUUGAGAAAUGACCAAUUUCUGUGGGAAGAGACCCUUGUAAGUUGUUAAAAGACAAAUCAAGAAGCAUUAGAAGAGAACAUUGGGUGAGUUCGAUGGGAAUUUUCCCUGUGAGGUGGUUGUGAGACAAGUAAAGAUAUCUCAACUGUGACAGAUUACCAAGAGAAGAUGGGAUUGUCCCACUAAUCAAAUUAUCACUAAGUUCCAGUAAACCAAGGUUAGCCAUCUGCCCAAGUUCAUCUGGAAUUGGCCCAAGAAGUUUGUUUCUUCCCAAGUGUAAUCUCUGCAACUGCCUAAGCUUCCCAAUUGUUGCAGGAACUCCAUUCAAAAAAUUAUACCACAGGUCUAGAGUCACAAGGCCGCUUAGAUUUCCAAUUUCAGCUGGUAGGUCUCCUGUUAAUUUGUUGUUUCGAAGAUUCAAGUAGUAGAGAUCUUUGGAAAGACUGCCAAUUGAAGCCGGUAAACUUCCUGCAAACAGACAUGCCCCUAAGUGCAGUUUCUGUAGACGUGAACAAUUAGUGAGAGGAGUUAGAAAACUGAGGGAAGAGUUGUUGGAACCGCUCACCAGGUUAUUGCUAUGAAGGUAAAGUCUCUCAAGUUUCUUCAACUUCCCCAACUCAGGAGGGACUUCCCCCUCUAACUGGUUGAGGCUAAGAUCAAGCAGUGUCAGCUGAGAAAGAUUGGACAGGGUCACUGGAAUUUUCCCAGAAAGUUGGUUUUCUUGGAAGUACAAUCUCUGCAAGUUAUGGAGCUUUGACCCCAAUUCGAAAGGGAUUGUUCCCGUUAACCGAUUCUCAAUCAGUGUAAUGUGACGCAGGGCAGUGCAAUUACUGAUGGAUGCAGGUAUGCUUCCUUCCAAAAAGUUGAUGUGGAGGUACAAUAUCUCCAGCUUUGUUAAUGCUCCUAGCUCCUCUGGAAUCCUUCCUGUGAAGUAAUUAACUUGCAAUUCUAAAUCUGUCAGCUUUGUCAGAUUCGAAAGAAACGAUGGUAUAGCUCCAGUGAGGCUGUUCUCAGAGAGACAAAGGUAUGUCAAGUUUGUCAUUUGGCCUAGUACAGCAGGAAUGCUUCCAGUCAGAUUGUUAUAGUCCAAGUCUAUUGUCUCCAGGCUCCAGCAGCCUUGUAUUGAGGCUGGAAUAUUGCCCCCAAGCUUAUUACCACUCAUGUUUAUGAAUGUUAACUCAGAAAGCUCUCCAAUGGUAGCUGGGAUCUCUCCAUACAAGCUGUUGGCUUGCAAAGAGAGGGUGGUGAGAUGGGAUAGAUUGGAUAUGUAUGGUGAGAUAACUCCCUGUAAGCGCAUGUUUAUGAGCUCAAUGGCUAUGACCCGGUUCUUAAGUUGCUGGUGGCAUGUAAUCCCUGUCCAGUUGCAGAAGAACCUGGUUUCAUUCCAAUCUUGGAGAUGACCAUCUGGAUCACCUGUUAUGCCUUGUUUGAAUUUGAGCAGAGAUUGACAAUCAGUGGAGUUUUUGCAGAGGAAUGUGGAAGUUGAUAGUAGAGCAAGACAACUAAGAGAGAAAAACACUGCCACAGCAACGGGAUUGUUCUGAUUGUAUGCCAUUCUCUCUCUCUCUCUCUCUCAGUGUGUGUGUACAGCUUUUGGAAUUCGAUGUUAGAUUUCAGGCCAAAAGUUUUUUUUCUCACUUGUUAGGUAAGAUGGGAUGAACAAUCAAUUUUCUUAAAAGUUUAAACUUAACGUGUAUCAUACUUUUCAACACUCGACGGGAUCAAUGGUAGAAGUUUAAAUAGAUGGGCUCAGUUGCUCAAAUGGUUCAGACAACUUGGCCUAGUGAGGGGCAGGUGGUGAGCCCUCAUUUAUCACUGGGACCAUAGAGCAAGACUUUUUGGUAUUGCCAUCACCUGUCUUAACUUCAUUCAACCUCUUCAAUGCUGUUUGACAUUUUCUUCCGUGACAGAAUUAAUAGCUAUGCAGUUUCCCAAAAUUUGCUCCGAACCCAUUGUCAUUUUUUUUUCUUCAUAUUUUAUAUUUUGUAUUUAUUUAUUUUUAUAUUAUUAUCAUUUAUUAUUUAUUUUAUUUUUCUUUCUUUUUCUUUUAUUUAUUUUAUUUUCUUCUUCCUUUCUUCCUCCAUGCAUGCACUACCAUUGUCACUUUUUUCUCUUUCUAAGGAUUUGCAAUUGACUCUAUUGAUAUUUUGUUGGUUGAGCAUGGAUUUAUGACUUAUAACACACACAUGGAAGGUUGAAUUUCAUGAAAGAAAAUGAGGGUUAGAAAAAUAAUAAAUGGGAAACAUUGAGCUUAUUGUGGGUUUGAUUUGGUACAAAUUCUUUUGUAUAUAUCUACUUGGGUAUACAAUUGAAUAUUUAAUUUAGGAAAAUUCAAAAAAUUGUUUUCAAUGAAAUUAAAAAAAAAAAUUAAUAACAAUUGCCUGGAAAUUUAUUUAUUUAAUAAACAUUGUUUUGUCAAUAAAAUUGUCAUCAAAGUUAAUUUUUAAUAAAAUUAUCUAAAAAAGUGAAUUUAUAAAUGAAAUUCUAUUUCCUUAAUUUAAAUGGGAUAAAAAGUAAUUUUUGUAAAUUAAAGUCUUAAAUAAUUUUUUCAUAAUAAUAGAACGAGAAUCUUUUUAGCAAAUUGAACUUAUACAAAUUAUUUUCUUUUCGUAAAUAAAGUUUGUAAAGAAAUUAUUUUCUUUAUAAAUAAAAUCAAAAUGAAAUAUUUUUACAACUAAAAGAAUAUUUAAUUGAGCAAGUGAUGAACUAUUUGCUUGUUUAAGUAACCUUUUGAAAUGUUCCCUCAGCAUAAUGGUAGUACAAUAAGAGGGUUUAUUAUGUACUUCUUUCUAUAUGGACUUUGGGUAUAAUAAAAACAAUGCUUUCUCUCUCUCUCUCUCUCUCUCUCUCUCUCUCUCUCUCUCUCCCCCUAGUCCACAGGUUUACACCCUCAGCUUUACCCUGGACUAAGUCCUGAAACCCAAAGAUUAUGCAGAAUCAAACUCUUAAAGUCUACAGCAUGAGUUGAAGAAAAAAGGAUGAGUAUUUAAUGUAGUAGUUGAGGAAUGAUUCAAUGUUUGAAAUAUAAAAAAUGCAAUCCAUUGAACACUUAGCUGGACUAUCUGCUUAUUGUAUACAUAAAACAUAGACUAAUCCGAAGACUUCUAUGUUAUAACUUUAGAAUUUUCAUAUCCAAGGUUUUCACUUCUUUCUCAUCAGAAGACAAAGAUUGUAACUGUUGCAGAAAACCUAACAACCUAGUUUAUUUGUUAAGGUCCCUUUCUCUCAUAAGACAUAAAUAUAUUCACUAUCAAACACCAUAAUGAUAAUAAUAAUGAUCUUCUUUUUGCUGUAUAUACACUACUUUAGAGUUUGUUCAAUGUUUGGUUACCAAGAAAACAGAAGGACUGAUCUGCUGCAUUAAAAGGUUAAGUAAUCCUGAAUACUUUCACUUCAUUUUGCCAUAUGUAGUUCUUCCAUUAGCUAGCCAUUUGGAACUAAAUCUUGUGGAGAACUUUUCAUAUUGGAGAUGGAUAUGAAAUUGGAUCUGCCUCCACCUCAUUGAACUUCACUUUCAACAUAUGCAUUGAGAAUAUUUAAGUUAAGAUCAGUAUACUAACUAACCCUACAUAAAUUAACAUGUAUUGGUGAAAACACUUAUCCUUGUAAGUGAGAAAGCAAAAAAAAAAAAAGAAAAAAAAAAAAGACCUACCCAUUGAAGACCAUCUAUAAAUUGACAUGUUUCUCAUGCAAAAAUUUUCACCCCUCACCUAAACACAAAGAUUUGUGAUUGUUUGGAGACAGUACUCUAACAAUGGAGAAAGGUGUUAGUUUCCUAGUAACUGUGGCCCUCAUGGCAUUGGCUUCAUCUUUUGCCUCUGCCUCUGAUCCAAGCCCACUGCAGGACACUUGCGUUGCCAUUGGGGAACCCAAGAAUGCUUGUAUUUCUUUAGUAACCAAUGAACUUGUCACUAUUUUCACUGAUCUUUCCAAUUCAAUAUUGGGCACAUUAAUGCAGUAGCCAUUGCUGGUCUAAGCAGCCAAAAUCCAGGUGUAAUCACCAUAUCCAAUGCAGUGUUUGGAUCAAAUCCACCAAUCAAUCCUGAUUUCCUGGCAACGGCCUUCCAGUUGGACAAGAAGGUGGUUGAAUUCCUUCAAGCACGAUUCUAGUGGGGAAAUAGAGAAAAUGAAGAAGCUAUGAACCUUUGAUUUGCUUGCUUGAAUGACUAUUUGUGAUGUUCAAUUACCUCAUUACAAUAAGAGGGGUUUAUUACUUUAUUUUGUAGCUCUUUUGGUGUGGACUUUGGUCCUAAUAUUAAAAUAAAGCAGUUUGUCUGUUAUGCAUCUUCUUCUGUCUCCAUCUCAAUAUUUGUCUUAAAAAAUCUUAUCUUGUGAAAAAACAACUCUCAGUUGAUUGAUUAACCUGCAUGUGCAGAAUGUUUAUUAAGAAUGAAUACUUAACUAGUUGUAAAACAGUACUACUGCUACUUCCAGCAUACUGCUGGCAGAAUUGGUGAUGAAGGAAUGAACAUUGAGGCAACAACUGCUGAGAAUUCAAAAAUAAAAAAGAUGCCAUUUUGCUUCUCUAUAUUUUCCCAUUAUAACUCAUCAACCGAGAUCGAAGAAACUAAUUAAGAUGUCCAAGUAAACCAUUUGAAUGGUGGGAGAAGCAUAAGUGUCAUGAAAAUUGUGAAGAAAGAAUGGAAAUGAAAACCCAGAAAUCUUAUGACAUCUACUGUAGACAAAUUAAUGUCUUAAAUAAUCUUUUCAUAAUAAUAGAACGAGAAUCUUUUUAGCAAAUUGAACUUAUACAAAUCAUUUUCUUUUCAUAAAUAAAGUUUAUAAAGAAAUUAUUUCCUUUAUAAAUAAAAUCAAAUUGAAAUAUUUUUGUAAAUAAAGUUCUAAAAAUUCAUUCUUUUUCUAGUAAAAGUAAGUCAAAAUAAUUUUUAUUGUCAAAUUGGAAUUUUUUGAAUAAAUUCUAUCCAAAUAAAAUUCAAUCAAAUCAUUUAUUGGAAAUAAAUAAAUAAAUUAAAAUCUUGAAAAAGUAAUAUUUAAAAUAUCUUUUUGUAAUCAAUUUAAUAAAUCGGGGUGUAUAAUUCUAAUGUCAUUUAUUUUGUACAUUUUUGUAAUUUAAUUUUAUAAUUAUUUUCUUGUAUAUUAAUUUGUGUCUUUAAUCUUGAUAUUCAUGAUUGAUCAAUUAACUGUCAUAAUUCAUUUUGUUUGUUUAGUAAAGAUUGUUAGUAUACAUGCUUAGAGGGGUAUUACCACUUAUUAUUGUACCUUUCUGAUAGACAACUUGACCCUUGAAUAUAGACUUGAUUUUACAGACAUGUCUUUUCUAAAUGAGGAUUUAUACAAAAUUUUCUUUCUUAUUUUAUUUUCUCUUUUAAAAAAUAAAUUAAAAUAAGUGGCAAUCCUAAUUUUUUUAUAUAAAAAAAAAAAAUCAAAAUUUCACAAUAAAAAUGAGUCUCACUGUCGAGUGGGAACACACGCAAAAAAUACGGGUCAACAUGUAUCCAAUUGAUUGGGGUCAAUGUCAAGAUGUAUGAUAAAGAUGCAAAAUUUGAAUAUGAAUCCUACCAUUGAUUGAAUCUUGAACUACCUGAUACUGGUUGUAACAAGUGAGAUAAGUUGCUAAGGUUUGCAUUGAAAUCCUCAAUUGAAAGUUACUAGUCAUCCAAAUAUGUAUAUAAAUCAAAGUGCACACAAUUGAUUUUCUUUCUCUUCUAAAUCCAAGAAAUCAACCUCCUUAAGCAAAAGACCUUAGAAUUCUUAGAGUGUGUUUGAUAGUGAUUUUAGGAAGUGUUUUUAACUUUUUUAAUAAUUGAAAAAUAAGAAUUUUGAAGUGUUAAAAAUGUUAGAAACGCUUCCUAAAAUCACUAUCAAACGCACUUUUAAUGUAAUUUGCUCUAUGUACCACUUGAUGUGGAUGUUAAGAUUGAUAUCCUUGGUCAUUGCCUAUAAUCCUAUAUCUAUAAUAGCAAGAAGACAUACAUUGAAACAUGAAUACCCUUUCACUAUGUUUGGUUUAUGGAAAAUACUAAGAAAAGAAAAUGUUCUGAAAAAUGUUUUUCUUAUAUUUAGUUUUAUUAUGAAAAAUAAGAAAAAAAUAAAAUAUAAUUAUAAUUAAUUAAAAUUUUAUGUAUUUUAAAAUUAUUUAAUAUUUAUAUAAUGAAGGAAAAUAAAUGAAACAAGCUUGAAAAAGUAUAUAAAAAUAAUUUAUUAAUUAUAACUUGUAUGCGACUAUUUUGUACUUUAAUCCCGUUUUUCUUUUAUUCUCUUGUAGGUACCUUGAUUUUAUAUAUUUGUAUCUUUAUUCGAUGAUUUAGAUUUCAUAUAUUUGUAUCUUUAAUUGAGAUUGCAAGAUCCGUACGGAUUCAGAUUAGGGAUGACAACGGUAUGGGCUUGAGGCAAGUUACUCAUAUCCCAAUCCAUUAUAUUUAUUCGUAUAUGUUAUCAUCCCCACCAAAAAAAGAAAUUAAAUGGGAAUAGGAAAUUCUCAUGCCUACCCCAUGCUAUCCCAUUAUUUAUUUAUUUAUUUUUCAAUUUUUAUUUCUAAAAUUUUAAGAAAAUUAAUAUUUUAAAUAUGUUAAAAAAAUUGAAAACUGAAAAAAGAAAUCAAUUAAAGAACUUUUUAUUUAACAUUAUACAUAAUUAGGCUGAGGUAGGAUGAAACAAACUCAUACCCAAAAUCACCCUGAAUCAAUCUUGGGUUUUUAAAAAUUUCUCAAAUUCAAGAUGAGACAAAAUCAUAUCCAAAACUAUCUCGAAUCCAUCCUAGAUUUUAAAAAUUUUCUCUAAUUUAUCUAAACUUUAUAUCAUUAUCUCAAAACGAGUACAUUAAGGGUAUGACAAGUACUAAAAAAAAAUUGGUAUAUUGUCAUCCCUAAUCAAGAUCCUAAAAUUUUUCUUUAUGAUAAUGAAAACAACAAUCAUAGUCGUCAUCUCUCUAUCAGUGUACUUUUUAGGUUUGAUCGAAUACACCUUAUGUGUUGCCUUUGGGGCAACCUAGCUCUCUCAAUCAUUGUCUAAAGUUCGGGUGUUUGUUUGUUUUAAUUUUUUUCGACUUUUUUUAAUACUAAAAGUAACUUAAUGACUUUUUUUUAACUUUUUAGUACUUAAUAAAAAUAAAAUAUUAAAAAACCAAAAACUGUGAUGUUUAAUACUUUUAAACACUAUAUAAUUUUAAGUUUUAUUCAAAAUUAAGUAAAAAAGAAAAAAAAAACACUCCUUUGAUGGUCAUCUAAAACUUUUAGGUCAAAGCUUGAUUUGGAGCUCAUUUAAACCUAACCCAAACUUCAACUAAAAAGACCUAUGUCCAACACAAUUAUUAGAGGUGUCCAAUGGGUCAUGUCGGGCCAACACAACCCAUGUUUAUCAGGCCAAUGCGUUGGCUCGACCCAUGCAAGCCAAAUAGGUGGCUUGACAUGGCCCAUAAACCCAUGGGCUAAUCAUGUCGUGUUGUGCCAUGUCGGUGAGUCGCCCCAUGGGCCACACACUUUAAUUAUUAUUUUUUAAUUUAUUUUGUCUUAAGUUUUUUAUUAUUAAAUAAAAUUUCUUUUUGUUACUUUAAACACCUCUAAUAAUUAUACUUUUUAUUUUUUAUAUUUAUAUUUAUCAAGUUUAUAACUGUAAAAUUUAUAAAAAUGUUAGUUUUUUGUUUUUAAAAAUAAUAAAAAGUGAUAUUUAAAGGGUUAAGUGGGCCAACAUGAUGGCACGACGGGUUGUUUCCUUAGGCCCACCACGACCCGCUCCUUUGGGCCAUGCCGGCCUGACUCGAUCUUUUGGCGCACUAGGCCACAGGCCAAAAUGGGUGGCUCGACCCAUUGGACACCUCUAGUAGUUACAUGUCUAGCAUCCAAACGGUAGACCAGGUGAGUUUUGUCAAACCCAACCCAUUCAUCCCCUUUGCUUCAUGUUGGCCACCCGGUUCAGACCAACCAUUGGGUUGAUUUGGGGUCUUGGUUAUUUUUGUUUAAAUAAAUUGCAAAGAAAAAAAAAACUUGGUUUGGAUAAAUAAACUUAAGUUGUUUUUAAAAUAAGCUUUUAUUUGAUUUUUUCUAAAAAAAUUUAUAAAUUCAAUUUGUACAAUAUUAAUUAUAUUUAAUUGAAGUCUUAUUAAAGAUUUAAAAAAAAAUAGUUUUUAAAUUAAAGAUAAAUUAAAAAAAAUCAUAAAAUAUGAAAUUAAUAUUAUAAUAAAAUCAUAAAUUAUGAUUUUUAUUUAAAAUGAUACUAUUUUAAGAUAUGAUUGAUUUAUUUAUUUUGAUAAGAAUGAAUAAUACUAAUUUUAAAAUAAUAAAAGGGUGAUAUAGUUUAUUUGAAAUAAAUUUAAAAAUAAAUAAAAUUUAUUUUUUUAAUACGUAAAUAAGCGAAGUUUUUCAUUAUAUCUACACCUGAGAAUUUAAUCAAGGAUAUAGUAUUUUGAACUAGUUUUGAUUCAUUCCUAUAAUCUUCAUUCAGUCAUUAUGGUUUAGACAAUUGAUAAUUAAUCUGUUGGCAUAAUUGAUUCUGCAAAACAGUAUCCUGAAUUUAGUAUCGAGGGAGGCAGAAACACAGCGAGAGAGAGAGAGAGAGAGAGAGAGAGAGAGAGAGAGAGAGAGAGAUGAUGCUUAACAAUUAACAGACUGCAGACUGCUUUAUUGUAGUAAUAUGCCCAAAGUCCACACCAGAAGAGUUACAACCAGACCCUCUUAUUAUACCAUGUUUGUUACAAUGAGGGAAUUGAACAUCAUGAAUCGUCAUUCAAGCAAGGAAAUCAAAGGUUGACAGCUUAUUCUUUUUCUAUAUUUCCCCACUAGAAUCGUGCUUGAAGGUAUUCAACCACCCUCUUGUCCAACUGGAAGGCCCUUGCCAGGAAAUCAGGAUUGAUGGGUGGAUUUGAUCCAAACAUUGAACUGGCUAUGGUGAUUACACCUGGAUUUUGGCUGUUAAAAGCGGCAAUGGCUACUGCAUUAGUGUGCCCAAUGUUGACUUGGAAGUGAAUGAGACUGAAAGGGAACACAAAAACAUCCCCCUUGUUCAGGACUUUGCUAAUGAAGCGGUGUUCAGGGUUGGAUGUGAUAAAGCCAACAAAGAGUGUUCCCUCCAAGACAAUGAAGACCUCACUGGCACGAGGGUGAAAGUGAGGAGGGUUUUGACCAUUAGGUUCAUAAUCGAUACGAGCCACUGACACCCCAAGAGUGUUUUCUCCUGGUAAUUGAUCAACAUUUAUAAGAUUGACAAUUGAGCCCACAUAAUUUGAUGUGUUUCCUGGAAUAUUCAGCCCUUGAUACAAGAAAUCCUCGGCCACGGUCAGGUUUGGGUUCUUGCAGAACUUCCCAUUUACAAAUACUGCAUGAAGAAGGAAAAAAGAAAAGAUAUAUCAUUAGUAUCAAACCAUACUCACCAUAUCAAUAAAAAGAGAAGUACUGAAAAUAGCUAUAAGAUCAUUGGUUACUAUAGAAAUACCAGCAUUAUUGGGCUCAUCAACGGCAACACAGGUGUCUUCCAGUGGGCUUGGAUCAUAGGCAGAGGCAAGAAAGGAAGCCAAUGCCAUGAAGGCCACGGUUACCAGGAAACUAACGCCUCUCUUCAUUGUUAGAGUACUGCCUCCAACAAUCACAAUCUUUAUCUUUAGGCGGGGAUAAGAAAUUUAGCAUGGAAAAGAUGUUAAUUUAUAGACCAGAGUCGAUGAGUUAGUCUUUGCAUAAACUCACCAAGUCUUCAAUGGGAAGUUUUUUCUUCUUUCUUUUUUCACUUUCGAGGACAAGCGGUUGCACCAAUACAUGUUGAUUUACGUAGGAUUAGUCAGUAAACAGAUCUUAACCAGAAUAUAAAGCAAUGUACAAUCAGGUGGAGGCAGGUCCAAUUUAAUAUCAAUCUGCAUGAUCCAAACGUUUACAUUGUUUCAACAUUUUUGUAUUAUGGUUUUUAUGAACUGUGUUUUUUUGAGUUGUAAGGAAGAAAAACUUAGGUUUAAAGUUCUAGCAUAGAAGAAAAAACCUGUAGAUUAAUUGAUUUUUUAAUCUGAACCAAACACAUGAUCAACUCCAUAAAAACAAGUGGAAAACAAGAAAAAAUGAAUGAUUUUUAAUAUGUAUUUGUGUGAGAAUGAUAGGUAUAGAUUUUUUUUUGAGAUAUACUGCCACAUAAUCUUCAUCCCUUCUAAAAAACGAGAGAGAAAAAAAAAAGAAUGAUUUUUCUGUUUGUAUCUAAGUGAGAAUGAGAUAUAGAAUUUCACUCCAGACGCAUUAAUUUUAUCUCAUACUGCCAUGCUAGACCAAAUCAGCCCUUAACGACAACCACACUGUUUUGUGGGGGGGGGGUUACUUUUGUUCCAUUAUAUUCACAGAAUCUUCAAAUCCAUUCUUUGGAUUAAUCUGCAUGAGGAAAUCUGUUACUGUUAGUGACGGAAACCUGUUAUUGUUAGUACCGGAGUCAACUGUUUGACUGGGUGGGUUCCAAUCAGAUCCUAAGGAAUGGGUCCAAAGGUCAUCCAUUAGAGUUAAUGGAAUUCAUUGUUGUUCUUGUGCCUUGAUGUGUGAGCCCAACACGCACAGAUGCAACUAGGGAUGGCAACGGGGCGGGUUUUUUCGGGUACCCGCCCUGCCCCGCCCCUAAUGGGAUGGGGUUGAAAUUUAAUAAAUGGGUUUUUAACGGGUAUAAGAUUUUUUUUUUUAAACCCGGGGCGGGUUCGGGUAUUGCCCCAUCCCGCCCCGCCCCGCCCCGCCCCGCCCCGCCCCGCCCCGUUUACAUAUAAAAUCAAUUUUAAAAUUUAAUUUAAUUUAAUUUAAAUUUUAAAAUUAAUUUUAUUUUACUAUUUUUAAUAUAUAGAUAAUAAAAAAAAAUUAAUAAAAUAAAUUAUAAAAAAUAUAAUAAUUUUAUUAUUUAUAAAUAUAUUUAUUUUAAUGUAAUUAAAAAUUUUAAAAGCAAUUUUUUUUUUUUUUAAAAAGGAGGCUAAACAGGGCUGGGCGGGGCGGGUUUGGGAAUUUCCCAUACCUGCCCCGCCCCGCCCCGCCCUGCCCCGUUUAAUUUUUUAAACGGGACGGGGAUGGGAAUUAUUUUUAAUAAACGGGGCGGGGUUGGGAUGGGGGCGACCCGUCCCGAACCUGCCCCGUUGCCAUUCCUAGAUGCAACAGUAUGAGUCAUGUGCAGGUAGAUUUGAAUAGACACAUCUUGGCAUCGGGAUGGCUUGAGCAAGGUGUAGUCUCCUACAAUAGGAAGCAUGGUGAACUGAUGCAUCACAUGAGCAAGACUCCUAUUGCAUGAGACAUACUCCUAUCACAUGAGACUUCUAGUCAAAGUGGGAGAUUGAGACCUAAUAUUGCAGGAAGAGAAAGGGACUCUUGACAUGAGAAGACUCCUAAUCGGGAUAGAAAACUAAAUCUUCAUGCAUAAGGAGAUAGAGAGAUGUGGCAUGAGAGUUUUAGAUUCAGUAGGACUUGGAGUCCUACUCAAAUUUGUCAUCUGUUAAGCUUGAGUCGGACGCAAACUAGGACUCAAAAGUUAGUCUCCUAGUAGGAUUAGGAUGGCUUGGUGCAACCUUCAUAAAAGGAGGGCGUGACCCAAUAGGAUGCUCCAAAAAUGGUACCUUACGUGAUAGGAAGGCCCCUUCAAAAGUCAUAUUGCUUGUACCACCAAGACACCACCACUAAGUAUUUGUCCAUAUCUUAAUCCAUGUGUGCAUGGAGAUGAACAUAAAUAUAUAUAGAAAAGAUAAAUAUUAGAAGACAAGUCUCCACAAAGAGACAAAAAUAUAGAAGGCUUCGGUCAACCAAUCCCGCUAUGCGUGGCAAAUGUUUCAGGGGACUGCGUAGGAUUGAACAGCCUUUGCUAGAGGGAAGAUCAAUCUAUGGGCGUGAAUAAAGAGAGAACUGGAGAAGUAUUGGAACAGGCGGGUCACCUCAGUUGACCAGGAAACAUGGCAUUAGUCAACGCAAACCUUGGCUUUCGAUCUCUACAUCGGUGCUGAAUAUUGUUGAACGGAAACACGUGGCCAGCUACAUUGGUUCUAGACAACAAAGGCUGCAACAAUUAACCUGAAAUUGAAAAUUUUGAAAUUUUUUUGAAAACAUAACAUCUUAAGAUGACUGGUAACCUUCUCUUAUUGGUUGGCUCUAAAUCAAAACCACUAUACAUGCAUUGUUCAAUGUAUAUAUGAUGUAGCAUUUUUGUGUUUUGUCUUUUACAAGUUGUAUAUAUUGGAAAAUUCUGACACCAUACAAAAACAUAGAAAAGCCACAAAUACCGCAACUUGCAUAUUUUCAUUUUAUGGCUGAAACUUUUCAAUGAAUCAUUAUCUUUAUUUCAAACUUUAAAAUUUUGAAAACAUAACAUCUUAAGAUGACUCGUAACCUUCUCUUAUUGGUUGGCUCUAAAUCAAAACCACUAUACAUGCAUUGUUCAAUGUAUAUAUGAUGUAGUAUUUUUGUGUUUUGUCUUUUACAAGUUUUAUAAAUUGGAAAAUUCUGACACCAUACAAAAACAUAGAAAAGCCACAAAUACCGCAACUUGCAUAUUUUUAUUUUAUUUUAAUUAUUUAUAGUUGAUUAGGUUUAUGGUAUGCCAUGUUGGAUGCUUUCAGAUUUUACAGAUCUAAGUUACUUUUAUUUUGAGAACGAAUAUUCCAUAAUUCAACCUUUUCCUUUUCUUGUUGGUAAUCAUGAUACAUAAAAUCUAGGAAUGCUAAACACAUCUUUUUUAAAAGUACUAUAUUGUAUUACAAUAGGAAAUGGCUUUUAUCAAAAGAGAAAUAUCCUUAAAUUGAUUAGGCCUAGCUCAUACUUUCAUCAACCAUAUGAUGACAUGAAAAAAAUCAAAGAAGAAAUAUGGGAAAUGGUACGAAAAGAGAUGGGUAGUAAUAACAUGAGACAACAACUUGUUUUACAACUAGUUGUAGCAGAAAAACCAAUGUUUAAAAUGAUAGAAGAGCCCCAACCACCAGAACCACCACUGAAACACAAGGUAUGCAUUUACUUACUAAUAAUACAAGAUUAAUAUAAGUGACAUAAAGCCUAUGUAAAUGAUAUUAUUUGUUGUAUUGAAGGUAAUUAAAUGUAAAUUAGCAGUGGAAAGAAAAGAAAAUGUUGUUCCAACUGGUACACUAAUAGAAGAAAAAGGAUCGAAUAGGUUGGUUGUAAUAAAUGCUGCACACAAGCCAGAUGCUAGACUCCCAUUUCCAAAUCCAUAUGAGAUUAUCAAUGUUGGGGAUGCUAUUGGCUUUGAGCUUGACUGGCCAACAAGCCUUGUCAUACUUGAAACUGAACAUCCUUAGGUAUGUCAUUUUAUGCCUAUAGUAAAUUUGAUUGUAACUUGGUAUUUUAUUGUUUAGGAGUAUAUAUAUCUAACAUUCCUUCCUUUUUCAUAGGUGUUGGAUAAAGGAAAGAAGAAGAUAGUGAAGACACCAAUUUUUUGAAAAUCUAAGCCUCAAAAUCAUUCGGUCAUUAAAAAUUUUCAAAAAUUUGUGGAUGGUUGUCUUGGUAAUGACAAGACAUACCCAAUACAGCUCCCCAUUUCACUUUUUGGUGUCGAAUUUCAAACAUAUAUAUCUAGAGAGGAUUGUGAAUACAUUAUUUCAUCUUUAGAGGUGUCAUCAAACUGCAUCUCCUUCUAUUUAUGGUGUGCACCUUUUAUUUUCAUUUGUUUUUAUUUUUUUAAAUAUGAGUUGCCCAUGUUGAACGAAAUUGGAUAUGACUAAUGAUAAUUUUCUUUUGGUGUUUUGAUACAAUAAUAGGCACAUGCAUGAUCAACUACAUAUUGCCAAAAAGGAAUCACAAUUUAUAUUUGUUAAUCCUUUUACAAUAUCACGAGCAAGCCUUAGUACUCAUCAAACAGAGAAAAGAGCACAAUUGUUGUCAAAACGCUUAAUGGAGUGCCAAGAUGCUAAAUAUGUUUUCAUACCUUACAACCCUGAGUAAGUGACAAAUAUUAUACUUUAAUUUGAGGUUUUAUGAUUGAUUUAUAUUUCUAAUUAGACGCUACUUUUGUUUUUAAUGUUUUAGCUUUCAUUGGGUCUUGGUGGUGAUUGAGCCAAGGAAAAUGAUAGUCCACUAUCUUGACCCUAUGCAUCACAAACUAUUUGAGGACUUAAAGAAUAUCGUAAACAUGUAAGUUCUUCCUAUUAUUUUUCAUAGUAUUAUUUUUUUUUUUUUAUAAAAAAUACAUUCAUCUCAAACACAUUGAACUUAUUUACAUAGGGCACUUCGAAUAUCUACAAAGAAAACAUCUAAAAGGGAGCCAUCUUGGCAACUAGUGCAGGUGACAUCCAAAAAAUUUUCUUUACACAUUAGCUUAUGCAUUUGCACCAUUUAUAUAUAUGAGUACUAAUGUUAUUUUAUAAUUGAUCGAUUAGUGUCCAAGACAAGAAGGAGGGUUCGAAUGUGGCUACUUUGUUAUGAGAUUCAUAAAAGAGAUAAUUUUUUAUCCUACAAUUAUUGCUUCAAAGGUAUUACAAAUUUAAUGAAUUGUACAUAGUUUUAGGCUUCCAAAUGUUAUGCAUUUUAAUGUUAUUUUCUUAUUUGAUUUCAGUUUGGUGAUAAAAAAACAUAUUCUCAAGUAGAAUUCGAUGAAAUUAGAGAAAAAUGGGCUACUUUUGUGCUACAACUAAUCAUGAAUCAUGUUGAUGCAUCAUGAUCACCAUGCAUGGUGAGUCCUUUAGCUACUACAUGAAUUUUUCCAUAGGUUCUUUGAAUAAUGUUUCUAUUUGAAAAAAAAAAAGAAAAAAAAAUAGUUCUUAGAUUUUUUUCAUUUAUGAUAACAUCGAUCCAUGUUUAUUUUCUUCAAUAAAAAUCUAUAAAACUCAUUAAACUAUGAAAUGCAAGUAUACACUUUUGGGAUGGUGGAAUGGAGAAUAAAAAGAAAGAAGAAGGCAACAAGAUUUUGGGUUUUUAAAUGCAACUCUUAUGUCAUACGUUGUAGGACAUAAAUGUUAAUUUAAUUAGUACUGAGAAAUUUAGAUUUUUAGAUGGGACUUUUAUGUCAUUUUAUAGUUAGCCGGUUUUAUGCUUAUGAAUUGGAGGUAUACAUGAAUCUUGGGAUCUUUAACAUUUCUAAAUCAUGUUUUGGUAUGUAUUCACUCUUCUUUUUUUAGUUUUGAUGGGUUUGAUAUGUUGGAUGUACUAUCUUUUUGUGAACAUUUGAUAUACAAAUAUUAUUAGAUGAUCAAUGUAUUAUGAGUUAUUCUAGAAACAUUACAGAAAAAUGAGUUAAAUAUAAUAUUAUUGUUAUAUUUAUGGACAAAAAAUAAAUAGGUUAAUCUUACUUAUUAAUUCAUAAGCAUUACAAAAAUUUAUAACUAAAAGCAAUCAUAUCUUCCACAAUAAUUUACAAUGAUGUGACACCAUUACUCAAAGGUGAUGCAUUUAAUAUGACAUUAUAAUUCAAAGAUGAUGCAUUUAAUGCGAUACCCUCUCAUCACUAGAAAUAUAUGGUGUCACUUCCGAAUGGGUCACCAUUUAUCUACUUUGGUGUCACUUCCAAAUACGUUACCAAUUGGUACCCUCUAUGGUAUCAGUGGAGAAGGUGACGCUAUGUUGUAGUGACACCCUAUGUUUAUGGUAACUCGUUAUAAAUGUCACCAUAUAUCUUUUUCCCUAUAGUGUAUAGCUCCAGUGAGGCUGUUCUCAGAGAAACAAAGGUAUGUCAAGUUUGUCAUUUGGCCUAGUACAGCAGGAAUGCUUCCAGUCAGAUUGUUAUCGUCCAAGUCUAUUGUCUCCAGGCUCCAAUAGCCUUGUAUGGAGGCUGGAAUAUUGCCUCCAAGCUUAUUACAACUCAUGUUUAUGAAUGUUAACUCAGAAAGCUCUCCAAUGGUAGCUGGGAUCCCUCCAUACAAGCUGUUGCCUUGCAAAGAGAGGGUGGUGAGAUGGGAUAGAUUGGAUAUGUAUGGUGAGAUAACUCCCUGUAAGCGCAUGUUUAUGAGCUUGAUUGACUCUAUUGAUAUUUUGUUGGUUGAGCAUGGAUUUAUGACUUAUAACGCACACGUGGAGGGUUGAAUUUCAUGAAAGAAAAUGAGGGUCAGAAAAAUAAUAAAUGGCAAGACAUUGAGCUUAUUGUGGGUAUGAUUGGGUACAAAUUCUUUUGUAUAUAUCUACUUGGGGUAUACAAUUGAAUAUUUAAUUUAGGAAGAUUCAAAAAAUUGUUUUCAAUGAAAUUCAAUAAUAAUAAUAAUAAUAAUAACAAUUGCCUGGAAAUUUAUUUAUUUAAUAAACAUUGUUUUGUCAUCAAAGUUAAUUUUUAAUAAAAUUAUCUAAAAAAAUGAAUUUUUAAAUAAAAUUCUAUUUCCUUAAUUAAAAUGGGCUAAAAAGUAAUUUUUGCAAAUUAAUGUCUUAAAUAACCUUUUCAUAAUAAUAGAAUGAGAAUCUUUUUAGCAAAUUGAACUUAUACAAAUCAUUUUCUUUUUGUAAAUAAAGUUUGUAAAAAAAUUAUUUUCUUUAUAAAUAAAAUCAAAUUGAAAUAUUUUUACAACUAAAAGAAUAUUUAGUUGAGCAAGUGAUGAACUAUUUUCUUGUUUAAGUAACCUUUUGUAAUGUUCCCCCAGCAUAAUGGUAGUACAAUAAGAGGGUUUAUUAUGUACUUCUUUCUAUAUGGACUUUGGGUAUAAUAAAAACAAUGCUUUCUCUUUCUCUCUCUCUCUCUCUCCCCCUCAGUCCACAGGUUUAGACCCUUAGCUUUACCCUGCACUAAGUCUUGAAAGCCAAAGAUUAUGCAGAAUCAAACUCUUAAAGUCUACAGCAUGAGUUGAGGAAAAAAGGAUGAGUAUUUAACGUAGUAGUUGAGGAAUGAUUCAAUGUUUGAAAUAUAAAAAAUGCAAUCCAUUGAACACUUAGCUGGCCUAUCUGCUUAUUAUUGUAUACAUAAAACAUAGACUAAUCCGAAGACUUCUAUGUGAUAACUUUAGAAUUUUCAUAUCCAAGGUUUUCACUUCUUUCUCAUCAGAAGACAAAGAUUGUAACUGUUGCAGAAAACCUAACAACCUAGUUUAUUUGUUAAGGUCCCUUUCUCUCAUAAAACAUAAAUAUAUUCACUAUCAAACACCAUAAUGAUAAUAAUAAUUAAUGAUCUUCUUUUUGCUGUAUAUACACUACUUUAGAGUUUGUUCAAUGUUUGGUUACCAAGAAAACACAAGGACUGAUCUGCUGCAUUAAAAGGUUAAUAUGUAGUUCUUCCAUUAGCUAGCCAUUUGGAACUAAGUCUUGUGGAGAACUUUUCAUAUUGGAGAUGGAUAUGAAAUUGGACCUGCCUCCACCUCAUUGAACUUCACUUUCAACAUAUGCAUUGAGAAUAUUUAAGUUAAGAUCAGUAUACUAACUAACCCUACAUAAAUUAACAUGUAUUGGUGAAAACACUUAUCCUUGUAAGUGAGAAAGCAAAAAAAGAAAAAAAAAAAAAGAAAAAAGAGAGAGACCUACCCAUUGAAGACUGUCUAUAAAUUGACAUGUUUCUCAUGCAAAAAUUUUCACCCCUCGCCUAAACGCAAAGAUUUGUAAUUGUUUGGAGACAGUACUCUAACAAUGGAGAAAGGUGUUAGUUUCCUAGUAACUGUGGCCCUCAUGGCAUUGGCUUCAUCUUUUGCCUCUGCCUCUGAUCCAAGCCCACUGCAGGACACUUGCGUUGCCAGACCCAAGAAUGCUGGUAUUUCUUUAGUAACCAACGAACUUGUCUCUAUUUUCACUAAUCUUUCCAAUUCAAUAUUGGGCACAUUAAUGCAGUAGCCAUUGCUGGUCUGAGCAGCCAAAAUCCAGGUGUAAUCACCAUAGCCAAUGCAGUGUUUGGAUCAAAUCCACCCAUCAAUCCCGAUUUCCUGGCAACGGCCUUCCAGUUGGACAAGAAGGUGGUUGAAUUCCUUCAAGCACGAUUCUAGUGGGGAAAUAGAGAAAAUGAAGAAGCUAUGAACCUUUGGUUUUCUUGCUUGAAUGACUAUUUGUGAUGUUCAAUUACCUCAUUACAAUAAGAGGGGUUUAUUACUUUAUUUUGUAGCUCUUUUGGUGUGGAUUUUGAUCCUGAUAUUAAAAUAAAGCAGUUUGUCUGUUAGGCAUCUUCUUCUGUCUCCAUCUCAAUAUUUGUCUUAAAAAAUCUCAUCUUGUGAAAAAACAACUGGAUAACAACUCUCAGUUGAUUGAUUAACCUGCAUGUGCAGAAUGUUUAUUAAGAAGGAAUACUUAGCUAGUUGUAAAACAGUACUACUGUUACUUCCAGCAUAAGUGUCAUGAAAAUUGUGAAGAAAGAAUGGAAAUGAAAACCCAGAAAUCUUAUGACAUCUACUGUAGACAAAUUAAUGUCUUAAAUAAUCUUUUCAUAAUAAUAGAAUGAGAAUCUUUUUAGCAAAUUGAACUUAUACAAAUCAUUUUCUUUUCGUAAAUAAAGUUUGUAAAGAAAUUAUUUUCUUUAUAAAUAAAAUCAAAUUAAAAUAUUUUUGUAAAUAAACUAAAAAUUAAUGUCCUAAGUAAAAAUCAUUUUUAUUGUCAAAUUGGAAUUUUUUGAAUAAAUUCUAUCCAAAUAGAAUUGAAUCAAAUCAUUUAUUGGAAAUAAAUAAAUAAAUUAAAAUCUUGAAAAAGUAAUAUUUAAAAUAUCUUUUUGUAAUCAAUUUAAUAAAUCGGUUUGUAUAAUUCUAAUGUCAUUUAUUUUGUACAUUUUUGUAAUUUAAUUUUAUCAUUAUUUUCUUGUAUAUUAAUUUGUCUCUUUAAUCUUGAUAUUCAUGAUUGAUCAAUUAACUGUCAUAAUUCAUUUCGUUUGUUUAGUAAAUAUUGUUAGUAUACAUGCUUAGAGGAGUAUUACGACUUAUUACUGUACCUUCCUGAUAGGCAACCUGACCCUUGAAUAUAGACUUGAUUUUACAAACAUGUCUUUUCUAAAUGAGGAGUUACACAAAAUUUUCUUUCUUAUUUUGUUCUCUUUUAAAAAAUAAAUUAAAAUAAGUGGCAACCCUAAUUUUUUUAUAAAAAAAAAAAAAAAAUCAAAUUUUCACAAUAAAAAUGAGUCUCACUGUCGAGUGGGAACACACGCAAAAAAUACGGGUCAACAUGUAUCCAAUUGAUUGGGGUCAAUGUCAAGAUGUGUGAUAAAGAUGCAAAUUUGAAUAUGAAUCCUGCCAUUGAUUGAAUCUUGAACUACCCGAUAGUGGUUGUAACAAGUGAGAUAAGUUGCUAAGGUUUGCGUUGAAAAGUUCAGCCAUGGAAAGUUACUAGUCAUCCAAAUAUGUAUAUAAAUCAAAGUGCACAUUCUAAAUCAAAGAAAUCAGCCUCCUUAAGCAAAAGACCUUACAAUUCUUAGAGUAUGUUUGGUAGUAAUUUUAGGAAGUGUUUUUAACUUUUUUAAUAAUUGAAAAAUAAGAAUUUUGAAGUAUUAAAAAAUGUUAGAAACACUUCCUAAAAUCACUAUCAAACGCACUUUUAAUGUAAUUUGCUCUAUCUACCACUUGAUGUGGAUGUUAAGAUUGAUAUCCUUGGUCAUUGCCUAUAAUCCUAUAUCUAUAAUUGCAAGAAGACAUACAUUGAAACAUGAAUACCCUUUCACUAUGUUUGGUUUAUGGAAAAUACUAAGAAAAGAAAAUGUUUUUCUUAUAUUUAGUUUUAUUAUGAAAAAUAAGAAAAAAUAAAAUAUAAUUAUAAUUAAUUAAAAUUUUAUGUAUUUUAAAAUUAUUUAAUAUUUAUAUAAUGAAGGAAAAUAAAUGAAACGAGCUUGAAAAAGUAUAUAAAAAUAAUUUAUUAAUUAUAACUUGUAUGCGACUAUUUUGUACUUUAAUCCCGUUUUUCUUUUAUCCUCUUGUAGGUACCUUGAUUUUAUAUAUUUGUAUCUUUAUUCAAUGAUUUAGAUUUCAUAUAUUUGUAUCUUUAAUUGAGAUUGCAAGAUCUGUACGGAUUCAGAUUAGGGAUGGCAACGCUAUAAGCUUAAGAUAAGUUACUCAUAUCCCAAUCCAUUAUAUUUAUUCGUAUAUGUUAUCAUCCCCACCAAAAAAAGAAAUUAAAUGGGAUGGGACGGGUAUAGGAAAUUCUCAUGCCUACCCCAUGCUAUCCCGUUUUUUAUUUAUUUAUUUUUCAAUUUUUAUUUCUAAAAUUUUAAGAAAAUUAAUAUUUUAAAUAUGUUAAAAAAAUUGAAAACUGAAAAAAGAAAUCAAUUAAAAGAACUUUUUAUUUAACAUUAUACAUAAUUAGGCUGAGGUAGGAUGAAACAAACUCAUACCCAAAAUCACCCCGAAUCAAUCUCGGGUUUUAAAAAAUUUCUCAAAUUCAAGAUGAGACAAAAUCAUAUCCAAAACUAUCUCGAAUCCAUCCUAGAUUUUAAAAAUUUUCUCAAAUUUAUCUAAACUCGUUUAUCAUUAUCUCAAAACGAGCCCAUUAAGGGUAGGACGAGUACUAAAUAAAAUUGGUAUAUUAUCAUCCCUAAUCAAGAUCCUAAAAUUUUUCUUUAUGAUAAUGAAAACAACAAUCAUAGUCGUCAUCUCUCUAUCAGUUUACUUGUUAGGUUUGAUCAAAUACACCUUAUGUGUUGCCUUUGGGCAACCUAGCUCUCUCAAUCAUUGUCUAAAGUUCGGGUGUUUGUUUAUUUUUUUAAUUCAUUUUGUCUUAAGUUUUUUAUUAUUAAAUAAAAUUUCUUUUUGUUACUUUAAACACCUCUAAUAAUUAUACUUUUUAUUUUUUAUAUUUAUAUUUAUCAAGUUUAUAACUGUAAAAUUUAUAAAAAUGUUAGUUUUUUGUUUUUAAAAAUAAUAAAAAGUGAUAUUUAAAGGGUCAAGUGGGCCAGCAUGAUGGCACGAUGGGUUGUUUCCUUAGGCCCACCACGACCCGCUCCUUUGGGCCAUGCCGGCCUGACUCGGUCUUUUGGCGCACUUGGCCACAGGCCAAAAUGGGUGGCUCGACCCAUUGGACACCUCUAGUAGUUACAUGUCUAGCAUCCAAACGUUAGACCAGAUGAGUUUUGUCAAACCCAACCCAUUCAUCCCCUUUGCCUCAUGUUGGCCACCCGGUUCGGACCAGCCUUGACAUGAACGGCAAGGUCCAAUGGAUUAGGUUGAUUUAGGGUCUCGAUUAUUUUUGUUUAAAUAAAUUGCAAAGAAAAAAAAAACUUGGUUUGGAUAAAUAAAUUUCAAUUGUUUUUAAAAUAGGUUUUUAUUUUAUUUUUUGUAAAAUUUUUUAUAAAUUCAAUUUAUACAAUAUUAAUUAUAUGUAAUUGAAGUCUUAUUAAAGAUUUUUUAAAAAAUAGUUUUUAAAUUAAAGAUAAAUUAAAAAAAAUCAUAAAAUAUGAAAUUAAUAUUAUAAUAAAAUCAUAAAUUAUGGUUUUUAUUUAAAAUGAUACUAUUUUAAGAUAUGAUUUAUUUAUUUUUAUAAGAAUGAAUAAUACUAAUUUUAAAAUAAUAAAAGGGUGAUAUAUUUUAUUUGAAAUAAAUUUAAAAAUAAAUAAAUUUUAUUUUUUUAAUACGUAAAUAAGUCAUGUUUUUCAUUAUAUCUACACCCGAGAAUUUAAACUUGACCCAAACUUCAACUAAAAAGACCUAUAUCCAACACAGUUAUUAGAGGUGUCCAAUGGGUCGUGUCGGGCCAACACAAUCCGAUGUUUAUCAGGCCAAUGCGUUGGCUCGACCCAUGCAAGCCAAAUAGGUGGCUUGACAUGGCCCAUAAGCCCAUGUGCUAAUCAUGUCGUGUUGUGCCAUGCCGGUGAGUCGUGCCCCAUGGGCACACACUUUAUUAAAAAUUUUAAUUAAUUUUUUUUAAUUCAUUUUGACUUAAGUUUUUUUAUUAUUAAAUAAAAUUUCUUUUUGUUACUUUAAACACCUCUAAUAAUUAUACUUUUUUAUUUUUUAUACACUUCUAAUAAUUAUACUUUUUUUUUAUAUUUAUAUUUAUCAAGUUUAUAACUGUAAAAUUUAUAAAAAUGUUAGUUUUUUGUUUUUAAAAAUAAUAAAAAGUGAUAUUUAAAGGGUUAAGUGGGCCAGCAUGAUGGCACGAUGGGUUGUUUCCUUAGGCCCACCACGACCCGCUCCUUUGGGCCAUGCCAGCUUGACUCGGUCUUUUGGCGCACUAGGCCACAGGCUAAAAUGGGUGGCUCGACCCAUUGGACACCUCUAGUAGUUACAUGUCUAGCAUCCAAACGUUAGACCGGGUGAGUUUUGUCAAACCCAACCCAUUCAUCCCCUUUGCUUCAUGUUGGCCACUCGGUUCAGACAUUGGGUUGAUUUGGGGUCUCGGUUCUUUUUGUUUAAAUAAAUUGCAAAGAAAAAAAAAACUUGGUUUGGAUAAAUAAACUUCAGUUGUGUUUAAAAUAAGUUUUUAUUUGAUUUUUUGUAAAAAAAAUUAUAAAUUCAAUUUAUACAAUAUUAAUUAUAUUUAAUUGAAGUCUUAUUAAAGAUUUUUUUAAAAAUAGUUUUUAAAUUAAAGAUAAAUUAAAAAAAUUCGUAAAAUAUGAAAUUAAUAUUAUAAUAAAAUCAUAAAUUAUGAUUUUUAUUUAAAAUGAUACUAUUUUAAGAUAUGAUUGAUUUAUUUAUUUAUUUAUUUUGAUAAGAAUGAAUAAUACUAAUUUUAAAAUAAUAACAGGGUGAUAUUUUAUUUGAAAUAAAUUUAAAAAUAAAUAAAAUUUAUUUUUUUUAAUACGUAAAUAAGUGAAGUUUUUCAUUAUAUCUACACCUGAGAAUUUAAUCAAGGAUAUAGUAUUUUGAACUAGUUUUGAGUCAUUCCUAUAAGCUUCAUUCAGUCAUUAUGGUUUAGACAAUUGAUAAUUAAUCUGUUGGCAUAAUUGAUUCUGCAAAACAGUAUCCUGAAUUUAGUAUCGAGGGAGGCAGAAACACAGCGAGAGAGAGAGAGAGAGAGAGAUGAUGCUUAACAAACAGACUGCAGACUGCUUUAUUGUAGUAAUAUGCCCAAAGUCCACACUAGAAGAGUUACAACCAGACCCUCUUAUUAUACCAUGUUUGUUACAAUGAGGGAAUUGAACAUCAUGAAUCGUCAUUCAAGCAAGGAAAUCAAAGGUUGACAGCUUAUUCUUUUUCUAUAUUUCCCCACUAGAAUCGUGCUUGAAGGUAUUCAACCACCCUCUUGUCCAACUGGAAGGCCCUUGCCAGGAAAUCAGGAUUGAUGGGUGGAUUUGAUCCAAACAUUGAACUGGCUAUGGUGAUUACACCUGGAUUUUGGCUGUUAAAAACGGCAAUGGCUACUGCAUUAGUGUGCCCAAUGUUGACUUGGAAGUGAAUGAGACUGAAAGGGAACACAAAAACAUCCCCCUUGUUCAGGACUUUGCUAAUGAAGCGGUGUUCAGGGUUGGAUGUGAUAAAGCCAACAAAGAGUUUUCCCUCCAAGACAAUGAAGAUCUCACUGGCACGAGGGUGAAAGUGAGGAGGGUUUUGACCAUUAGGUUCAUAAUCGAUACGAGACAGUGACACCCCAAGAGUGUUUUCUCCUGGUAAUUGAUCAACAUUUAUAAGAUUGACAAUUGAGCCCACAUAAUUUGAUGUGUUUCCUGGAAUAUUCAGCCCUUGAUACAAGAAAUCCUCGGCCACGGUCAGGUUUGGGUUCUUGCAGAACUUCCCAUUUACAAAUACUGCAUGAAGAAGGAAAAAAGAAAAGAUGUAUCCUUAGUAUCAAACCAUACUCACCAUAUCAAUAAAAAGAGUAGUACUGAAAAUAGCUAUAACAUCAUUGGUUACAAUAGAAAUACCAGCAUUCUUGGGCUCAUCAACUGCAACACAGGUGUCUUCCAGUGGGCUUGGAUCAUAGGCAGAGGCAAGAAACGAAGCCAAUGCCAUGAGGGCCACAGUUACCAUGAAACUAACGCCUUUCUUUAUUGUUAGAGUACUGUCUCCAACAAUCCCAAUCUUUAUCUUUCGGCGGGGAUAAUAAAUUUAGCCUGGAAAAGAUGUUAAUUUAUAGACCAGAGUCGGUGAGUUAGUCUUUGCAUAAACUCACCAAGUCUUCAAUGGGAAGUUUUUUCUUCUUUCUUUUUUCACUUUCGAGGACAAGCGGUUGCACCAAUACGUGUUGAUUUACGUAGGAUUAGUCAGUGUAUAGAUCUUAACCAGAAUAUAAAGCAAUGUACAAUCAGGUGGAGGCAGGUCCAAUUUAAUAUCAAUCUGCAUGAUCCAUACGUUUACAUUUAUAGUAGAGCUUUCUGCUCUUUUAGUAGUGUAUAGACAAGCAAAUAGAAGAUUACAGAGUAGGUGCCAGCUUGGAGUAUACAAUGACCCGCCCAUAUCAAACAUGGUUACUCCAUGAGGCUUGUGUAGGUUCAGUUUAAUGAGUAUCUAUAUAGCUUAAUUCACCAUUCAAAGUGUUGAGAGAUUGGCUGAUGAGAUUAAAUAUGUAGCCAAGUUCUGAGUUUCUAGCUCAUGUGCCUUCCACUGAGUGAAAAGUCCUUGGAUAAGCUCUGGCUUUCUGCUAUACGCUCAUUAGGCUUUCCUCAGUUACAAAAGCUUUGACUAUGAUUUUUACGCUUGUAGCCUUCGCUGUCUGAGCGGUUUCUAAGACUUUUUAAUUAGUUGCUUCUAAGUUGUCUUUAACAAGCAAGUCCGUAUUUUCUGGCGAGAAGCAAGAAAAUACCAAUUGAUUAGAUGAAGUCCUUCGACUAAUCUAUGCCCUAUACGUAAGGUAAUUAAGCAGUUACACUUUCCAAAUCUUCAAUGGAUGUCAUUUUUCGAAUUGAAAGGUUGAACUUCCUCAAGUUAUGCUCUAGACUCUAGAAUGAAUUCUACAUAAUCUUCGGUUUUAGGCCUUAUUCCUAGUUUAAAGCUAAGAAGUAAACCAGUGGACAGACCAUCUGUAAUCAGAUUGUGAUUAGUGUCAUGACCCAUUAGAUCUUUAUAAGAAGUUGGCCAUGGUUCAAAGUCACGGUAUCCGUCACCAAAUCGGUAAGUCCCGAGGUACAUCAGUUUCAACGUCACGGAUCGAUAUCGGAUGAUACGCAAAAAUUUAUAGUUUAAAAGCUCAAAACAAUUUAAAAAGAUUACAAAAAUAAAUACAAAUAAAUAAAGUUAAAAAUUAAGAAAUAAAAUUUUAUUAUGUAUAAAAUUAUUCAAAUUAUGAUAAAACAUACCUUUGUAAUGAUUUAUAAAAAUAUUAAAACUAUAAAAAAAAUAAUUUAAUCACUUAAUAUUAAAUAUGCAUCAUUAAAGAUGAAAAUAAUAAAAAGUGAAUUUAUAGUUUAUAAUUUUUUUAAAAUUAAAUAUUUUGAAUUUUUUAAAAAUAUUUUCAAUAUUUAAAAAAAUACAUCUAGGAAUCAUCUUUGAAAAAAAUAAACAUCAUUUUUCUUAUCAAAUGUAUUCUAAAUAAAACAAUUAUAAAAAUAAAGAAUUUUUAUUUGAAUGAGCAUAUUUGAAUAUAAUAUAUUUUUUCUAUACAUCUAUUCAUUUGAAUUGAAUUUUUAUAUUAAUAUUCAUUUCCUUUUUUAUUCAUGUAAACCUAAAUAUUCAUUAUUAAUGUACCAUAAUCCUAAUUCCCAUCAAAUUUGCAUUAUCCAUUUAAAUACAAUUAUUCACAACAUAUUCAUUAACUACUUAAAAAACAAAUACCCACCCAAAUUUGUAAUCCUAUCAAAUACCCAUAACCCAUUGGCAAACACGUAUUUCCUUUUUUUGGCACAAUACCCAUUUUCUCUCUAAAACAACACUUUGAGCUCUCUAUUUCUUUGCACAAUACCUAUAUUUGAAGGCUAAAAAAAUAGGCCUACAAAGAUACAAAAGGAUGGAGCUAGAAAUACAAGGAUGAAGAUGCACAAGGUUUGAAGACUCUAUACUCUCCACACUUCUUCACUUUCAUAUGUUUCCAUCAUCUUCUUUCAUCCACUAUUUUCGCUCCUAUAUUACCAUUUUUUCCCAUCACCCAUCACCCGAAGAGCUUAGUUUGAAUAUAAUCUUGGGGUUAUCUCAAAGUUUCUUUGUGAUUCAACAAGUUUUUUCAUGAGUCAACCAAAUAUUAGACUCAGGUAUCGGUUCAGUACUAGUCAUGGACAAGAUUUUAACCCUGUUUGAGCUCUCUAUUUCUUUGUACAAUACCAAUUUUUAAAGGCUCACAAAAUAACCCUAUGAAAAUACAAGAGGAUAGAGAUGCAAAUACAGGGAUGAAGAUGCAAAAGGUUUGAAGACUUUGAACUCUCCAUAUUCUUCGGUUUCAUGGGUUUCAAUCUUCUUCUCUCAUCAACUAUUUCUGCUCCAAUAUUACCAUUUUUUUCCAUCACCCAUGACCUGAAGAGCUUAGCUUGGACAUAAUCUUAGGGAUAUCUCAAAGUUUCUUUGUGAUUUAACAAGUUUAUUCAUGAUUCAACCAAAUAUUGGACUCGGAUAUCGGUCCGAUACCGAUCAUGGCUGAGGCAUAUAUGAAUCGGUUGAGUCGUACCGGUCUCGACCGAGAUUUUGAACCUUGUUUGAGCUUUCUAUUUCUUUGCACAAUACUAAUUUUUGAAGCCUUAUAAAAUAGCCCUACGAAGAUAUAAGAGGAUGAAGAUGCAAAUACAAGGAUGAAUAUGCAAAGGGUUUGAAGACUUUGAACUCUCCAUACUUCUUCACUACCAUAGGUUUCAAUCUUCUUCUCUCAUCCACCAUUUCCAUUCCAAUAUUACCAUUUUUUUUUCCAUCACCCAUCACUCAAAGAGCUUAGUUUGGACAUAAUCUUGGGGUUAUCUCAAAGUUUCUUUAUGAUUCAACAAGUUUAGUCAUGAGUCAACUAAAUAUUGGACUUGGGUAUCAGUCUGAUACUAGUCAUGACCAAGAUUUUGAACCCUUUUUGAGCUCUCUAUUUCUCUACAUAAUACCCAUUUUUGAAUGCUCACAAAAUAACCCUACAAAGAUACAAGAUGAUAGAGAUGCAAAUACAAGGAUGAAGAUGCAAAGGGUUUGAAGACUCUAAACUCUCCAUACUUCUUCACUUUCAUAGGUUUCGAUCUUCUUCUCUCAUCCGCCAUUUCAACUCCAAUAUUACCAUUUUUUUCCAUGACCUAUCACUCGAAGAGCUUAUUUUGGACAUAAUCUUGGGGUUAUCUCAAAGUUUCUUUUUUAUUCAACAAGUUUAUUCAUGAGUCAACCAAAUAUUGGACUUGAGUAUUAGUUCGGUACUGGUCAUGGCCGAGGUGGAUAUGACUUGGCCAAGUCAUACUGGUCUCAAUCGAGAUUUUGAACCCUAUUUGAACUCUCUAUUUCUUUGCACAGUACCCAUUUUUUAAGGCUAACAAAUUAGCCCUACGAAGAUAUAAGAGGAUUGAGAUGCAAAUAAAGAAAUGAAGAUGCAAAGGGUUUGAAGACUCUAAACUCUUCAUACUUUUUCACUUUCAUGGGUUUCAAUCGUCUUAUCUCAUCCACCAUUUUCGCUCCAAUAUUACAAUUUUUUUCCAUCACCCAUCACCCAAAAAGCUUAGUUUGAACAUAAUCUUGGAGUUAUCUCAAAGUUUAUUUUUUAUUCAACAAGUUUAUUCAUGAGUAAACCAAAUAUUGGACUCAAGUAUCAAUUCAAUAUCAAUCAUGGUUGAGGCGGAUAUGACUCGAACAAGUUGUACUUGUCUCAACCGAGAUUAUGAACCCUAUUUGAGCUCUCUAUUUAUCUCUACAAUACCCAUUUUUGAAGGCUUACAAAAUAGUCCUACGAAGAUACAAGAUGAUGGAGAUGCAAAUACAAGGAUGAAAAUCCAAAGAGUUUGAAGACUCUGAACUCUCCAUAUUUUUUCACUUUCAUGAGUUUUGAUUUUCUUCUCUUAUCUGCCAUUUCCGCUCCAAUAUUACCAUUUUUUCCAUUACCCAUCACUUGAAGAGCUUAGUUUGGACAUAAUAUUAAGGUUAUCUCAAAUUUUCUUUGUGAUUCAACAAGUUUAUUCAUAAGUCAGCCAAAUAUUGGACUUGGGUAUCUGUUCGAUACUAGUCAUAUAUGGUAGAGGCGGAUAUGACUCAACCAAGUUGUACUAGUCUCAACUAAGAUUUUGAACCCUAUUUGAGCUCUCUAUUUCUCUGUACAAUACCCAUUUUAAAGGCUCACAAAAUAGCCCUACCAAGAUACAAGAUAAUGAAGAUGCAAAUAUUACUCAUUGAAUAUCUAGCAAUAAUUGGUUUAUUUUUUAUUUUUGAAUUAUUUUUUAAAAUUAAAUAUCUAUUAAUGAAACAAAAAUACUAAUGAUUAAUACCAAAAAGUGCUAUUUUGUAGAUCUAAUUAUAAUGGUUUUAAGCACCUUUGAGUAGUAAUCAUAUUCAUUUAACCCAAUUAAUUCAUUAAGGUCCUUAGUAAUUGGUUUUAACCAUUUUGUGGCAAGUUUACAUGUUUUUAUCAGCUUAUGAAUCAAUUCAAGCAUGCCAAAUGAUGGAGGAGCUACUUAGACAAGUUAAAGCAAGGAUUUUGGAAGUUUACAGGCUUGAAUUUCAAGUGGAAACACGAGCACAAGCAAUGGAGAAGAGGAAAACAGAGUGAAGAAAACAGAGGACAGCAGCUGCAGUCUUCUUUUGCACUUUUGGAGCACUUCCCGAAGUCCAUUUUCUACAUUCUAUAUACCAUUUCAAAGCUCAGGAAGUCAAUAAUCCAAUGCUUCAAACGGUGCGUGAUUCGGAGUUGAAACGAAGGAGUUACAGCCAUUGCAAUCAGAUCACUCCAAGCUGCUGCGAAAUCAGCCUUUUGUUGCGAGAAUUUCGCAGCCUUUUUGUACAGUGCAAUGGAAUUCCUCCUGAAGCUACCCGAUAUAUGCUGCAAGCUGGAAUGCUGAGAACCUCAAGGUGGAAGCCAACUUCGCAGCCCUGCGAAGAUAGCUUGGUGUUGCGAAAUUAUUUCGCAACCCUCUUGAGUGUCUGCGAAAUCUCGCAGACCUCGUUUUCACCUGCGAAAUGUCCUUAGUGCUUCCUGAUAUUUGUGCACCGACUCUUUUGGAUAUUUUUCUUCAGAUAUUUUUGUAUAAAUUUCCAUUUUCUCCUUGUUUUCAGCCACUCAUGUAAUUCCUUAGCUAGGAAGUNNNNNNNNNNNNNNNNNNNNNNNNNNNNNNNNNNNNNNNNNNNNNNNNNNNNNNNNNNNNNNNNNNNNNNNNNNNNNNNNNNNNNNNNNNNNNNNNNNNNGAGAGAGAUUUAGUGUUUGAACCCAUUAAUGGGAAGCAUCUGUACAACACCGGUUGGAGAAGGAACUAUAGGUUAAUUCUCUAAGGCGAGGAAAAAAAACAAGUGACCGGAACUCCCUUUUUGUAUGAGGAACCUGAGCCUAGUGAUCUGAACUCCAAGAAACACUUUUCUUUGUAAGUAAAAUCAGUUACUAUUUUUGGUUAGCUUAAAACCAAACCUUUUUCAUUCAAACAUCUUUAUGUUUUCUUAAGCUAACCUUGAAAUGAAAAGGCACCAAUUCAGCUUUGAAUUAAUAUCAUUUGUGAAGUGAAAACCCAUCCCAGUGGACGAUCCUAGAGCCACUAUGCUAUAGUAGCUUUGUCUUUGCUACCCUAGUAUAUGGUGUAAUAGGUUAUAAAUUUUGUUGAUUACUCCCUCAAUCAAGGAGCACCAGCUGGACACGAAUCAGCUGAGACACCAAUUGGGCACGAAUCAACUAACUCUUUCUUGAUUUUCUUCUCUCAUCCACCAUAUCCGCUCCAAUAUUGCCAUUUUUUCCAUCACCCAUCACCCUAAGAGCUUAGUUUGGAUAUAAUCUUAGGGUUAUCUCAAAGUUUCUUUUUUAUUCAACAAGUUUAUUCAUGAGUUAACCAAAUAUUGGACUCGGGUAUUAGUUCGGUACCGGUCAUGGCCAAGGUGAAUAUGACUUGGCCGAGUCAUACCAGUCUCAAUUGAGAUUUUGAACCUUGUUUGAACUCUCUAUUUCUUUGCACAAUACCCAUUUUUUAAGGCUAACAAAAUACCCUAACAAAGAUACAAGAGGAUUGAGAUGCAAAUAUAGGAAUGAAGAUGAAAAGGGUUUGAAGAGUCUAAACUCUUCAUACUUUUCCACUUUCAUGGGUUUCAAUCUUCUUCUCUCAUCCACCAUUUUUGCUCUGGUAUUACUAUUUUUUUUCCAUCACCCAUCAUCCAAAAAGCUUAGUUUGGACAUAAUCUUGGAGUUAUCUCAAAGUUUCUUUUUUUAUUCAACAAAUUUAUUCAUGAGUCAACCAAAUAUUGGACUAGAGUAUCGAUCCGAUACUGAUAAUGGCUGAGGCGGAUAUGACACGAUCAAGUCGUACGAGUCUUAACCGAGAUUAUGAACCCUGUUUGAGUUCUCUAUUUCUAUACACAAUACCCAUAUUUGAAGGCUCACAAAAUAGUCCUACGAAGAUACAAGAUGAUGGAGAUGCAAACACAUGGAUGAAAAUCCAAAGCGUUUGAAGGCUCUGAACUCUCCAUAUUUCUUCGCUUUCAUGGGUUUCGAUCUUUUUCUCUCAUCCACCAUUUUCGCUCCAAUAUUACCAUUUUUUCCAUUACCCAUCACGCAAAGAGCUUAGUUUGGACAUAAUAUUAUGGUUAUCUCAAAUUUUCUUCAUGAUNNNNNNNNNNNNNNNNNNNNNNNNNNNNNNNNNNNNNNNNNNNNNNNNNNNNNNNNNNNNNNNNNNNNNNNNNNNNNNNNNNNNNNNNNNNNNNNNNNNNAAGAGCUUAGUUUGGACAUAAUAUUAUGGUUAUCUCAAAUUUUCUUCAUGAUUCAACAAAUUUAUUCACAAGUCAACCAAAUAUUGGACUUGGGUAUCAGUCCGAUACUAGUCAUGGUGGAGGCAGAUAUGACUCGGUUGAGUCGUACCAAUCUCGACUAAGAUUGUGAACCCUGUUUGAACUCUCUAUUUCUUUGUACAAUAUCCAUUUUGAAGGCUCACAAAAUAGCCCUACCAAGAUACAAGACGAUGGGGAUGCAAAUAUUACUCCUUGAAUUACUGGCAAUAAUUAGUUUAUUUUUUUAAUUUUGAACUAUUUUUUAAAAUUAAAUAUUUGUUAAUGAAACAAAAGCACUAACUCUUUCUUGAUUUGGAGUUUAUUUGUUGAAUGAAAAUUUUUGGAUAAUUAUGGUUUUGCGCAUAAGAGAAAUAAUGAACCAAUUGUUGUUCAUAAAUUCAUAAAAUUGGAUUAGCAUUUGAGUUUCAAAUUAUUUUUAAAAGUGCUUACAUUCAUUAAUGAAUCUAAUACACUAAGUUCCUCUUUGGGAUGAAUUUUGAAUGAGGCUAAAAGCUUUUCCUAACACUAGAAAGCAAUCUUAAAAAAAUGGUUGAAAAUCACUUUUAAAAAUCUAAAUAAUGACAUGAUUCUUCGAACUAUCACAUUUUUGUUAUAUUAUACAUUGCCAAAACAUUCUCUGAACAUAUUUUAAAAAAAAUUUAUAAUAUGCAUUUCCUACAAAGCAAUCUUAAAAAUAUAUAUAUAUAUAUAUCAUCAAUAAUUAGAUUAUGGUGUGAUAGUGAUUUUAGCAAUUGUUUUUAGCCUUUUUAAUACUUUAAAAAUAACAGCAGUGAAUUUAGGAAACGUUUCUAGCUUUUUUAACGCUUGAAUGAUAUAAAUUUUCAAGUAUUAGAAAAGUUAAAAAUGUUUCCUAAAAUCACUACUAAACAGGCUUUAAUCAGUAGUAGUAAUUAAUUGGUAUUGAAUAACUGUAAUGCAGUUUCCUGAAUGUAGUAUUGAGGGAGAGAGAAACAGAGAGGAAGAGAGAGAUGCUUAACAAACAAAUUGCUUUAUUGUAGUAAUAUGCCCAAAGUUCACACCAGAAGAGUUACAACUAGACCCUCUUAUCAUACUAGGAUUGUUAUAACGAGGGAAUUGAACAUCAUAAAUAGUCAUUCAAGCAAGGAAAUGAAAGGUUGAUAGCUUCUUCUUUUUCUAUAUUCCCCCACUAGAAUCGUGCUUGAAGGUAUUCAACCACCUUCUUGUCCAACUGGAAGGCCCUUGCAAGGAAAUCAGGAUUGAUGGGUGGAUUUGAUCCAAACA